UGUUUAUAAAUCUGCGGUUCUAGAAAAAAGUUGUAGAUAGAAAGAAGAGCAACUUACCAAGUAAAUAAAGAUCCAGUUGAAAAAAAUUGAUUUAUCAAUCCCCCUCUAUUCUUUCCAAUUGAUAACUAUAGUUACUGUUGGUGAUAACGAAGAGCAUUGACGAUGGGGUAGAUUUUGAAAUAUAAGGGAAAGGAUGCAGCAACCACUUGAUCAAGGAGAGGUUUUCCGAUUGCGUUGGAGGAACGAUUUCUGUUUACAUAAGUUGAAUAAUAAUAAACUAGUUAACGAUAUAUUUUAGGNUUAACGAUUUAUUUUAGGUUUAAAACACAAACAGGUAAUAAGCCGAUUUAAAUGUAAAAAAUUUACAAAAAAUAACGACUAUAAAGAACAAUUAGAAAAAGAAUUAAAAACACAGUUUCUUAAAUUUUUUUAUUUAAAAUCAUUUUUUUAAAAUAAUGUUAAACUAUAUUGCAAAAAUAUGAUGCAAAUUUGUAAAAACAAAUCCGAAGCUAACUCAUAAUUUUUUUUUUAAUCCAGUGCCGAACUUGCUAUAGCCCAUCACUCAGUAAGCAAUUUCGAUUACAAUCAUCGUCGGGGUAGGUNGGGGGUGUAUUUCUGAUGGUUUCUGUGAGAACGAGAUCAUGAAGUCAAGGUGGAUAGAUGAUGAGGGUUGGUUUAGGGUACGCCAAAAUACAGUGAAUUUGAAGCCAACAUCGGGAAGGUUAUUGAAACGUAAUCAUCAGCAAGUAAGUUCUCAUGUUCUUGUUCAGCGUACGCUAGAAUAAAAAAAUUCCAAGAGAAAUUGAGAUGAUAAGAACAUCAUCCUCGUCAUUACAGCUAGAUAGAUCGAUUGAUAGGGAGGUAAAAGGUAGGAGAUGGCGAUUUUCAUCUACUAACACCUCAUAGAUUGAAUUUUAAGCUAACUUUAUUCAAUUGGUGCGUGGAGGAAUCUAAUGUUUAAUUUUAAGGUAUGAGUUAUUCCUGUUUGUAUUUAACAUAGGUUUGAAGCUUGUAGUGGAAAUCAAAAUCCUUUUAGUGUUCAUUUGAGGGAGAGGGUUUUGUUUUUAACCAUUUCCAGAUAAUUGAUGUGGUUACAUGCUCCGAUCUAUCACCCACUUGAUAGAUUUGGUGUGUUCGGGUGAAAAACAUAAUUAUGAACCCUAUGUUUCCAAUUGGGGGUUACUUGUGUUGGAUUGCCACCCCAGACGGCGAGAUCAAGCGAACGAUUCAGACGCUCAAAGAUAUGCUUCGGUCUUAUGUAUUAGAUUUUGGAGGGAGUUGGAAUACUUACCUUCCACUGGCGGAGUUCUCCUACAAAAGCAGUUAUCAUGCCAGUAUUCACCGACCAUCGUUUAAGAUGUUAUAUGGAAGGAGGUGCAAUACCCGGUUUGCACGUGGGAGGUUGGGCUUUGGGUCAUGGGUGUAAUGAGGUGGUACUCAAGACCAUUGAAUUGAUUCAGUAGGUGCACGACAGGCCGCGAGUCGCGUAAAGCCGAUACGAGAGUUAAGCAGACCGGGGACAUUCGUGUUGGAUUAAUGUCUAAGUCCAUAACUAUAAUUGGUAAGACUUGACCCGACCUGGCAUGGUCCAUUUGGGUUGCAUGGCAUCAUGCAUUUGGAUAGACUAAAAUGAGAGAAAUAACACUUAAGGUUUGUUAAUAUAUUAUAAGUUCUAAUAUAUUAAUAAGGUUAUUUAAUUAGUAUUGAUCAAGAAUUACUUUGGAAUUAAUUAAGUGAUCAAAAGGAGACUAAUUAAAUAUAUGGGUUGAUUGUGUAAAUCAUUCAUUCUUAUAUAUGUGGGCUUGUGAUCCAAGAUUCCUUAUGUUGGACUAAGUCCAUGGGAUGCUCCAUGGAGGUUAAAAUCCAUGGAGCAUAAGGAAUGGGUAAAGUCAUGAGUUACAUGGUGUAACCCUAAUAGCCACCAUAUAAAAGAAUCCCAUGGCUCAAGAAAUCGUGCACUAUGAGUAUGUGUGAGGGCUAAACGAUUUCAUGGAGUGUUCAAGUUUCUCUCAAGUUAAUCCAAGUGUAUUUGGUGUUGUGUGAAGCAUUUGAGGUGUCACACUUGGGGCACUAGGCACUCAAGCUUCAUGAAGACUUUCUACAUAAAGAGGUAUGUAUUCUAUCUUGUUAUAUUCAUUGUUUUGUAUGCUAGAUUAGGAUAAUACCUUGGAUGUUCAUAAUUGCAUGUAUAAUAGAGAAAACAUAGAUCCAAGGUAUUUAGGGUUGCAUGUACACUUAGGAGUGUUAGAAUGCUCAAAACCCAACAGUUCGAACCUCGUGUUUCAGGAGGGGGAUUUUGUGCAUCUAAAGAUGUCACCUUGGAAAGGUGUCAUCCGAUUUCCAAAGUCGGGAAGCUGGCCUCAGAUUUAUUGGUCCCUUCAGGAUUUCUUCCUUGGUUGGAAAUCUUGCGUAAGUCUGGAUUUGCCUGAUGAGCUCAGCCGGAUCUACAAAACCUUCCAUGUGUCUCAGCUUCGAAGUGUGUCGCUGAUUAGCUCGCAGUUGUUCCUUUGGAUUACAAUCAGGUUGAUGAUCGUCUGAAUUAUGUGAAGAGACCGGUGAUGAUGUUGGAUUGGAAGACGAUCACUCUUUUCAAACAAAGGAGUAUCUCUACACAAUGUCCAAUGGCAUCAUCGGAAGGAUUUCGAAUGGAAGUGGGAGCCUAAGGCAAUGAUGUGAGAGCACUACCCUAAUUUAUUCGCAACAACAGACUUUGAGGACGAACUCUAGUUCAAGUGGGGGAGAGUUGUAACAUCUUGAGUUCCAAGUAUUUUAAAAUUUUACACUUGAUUUGAGUUUGGUUAUAAAAUUUAGUCCCAAGGGGUAUUUUCGUACUUUUUGCGUAGGACUCACGUACGUUGGGUGUACGUGGCGAGGGUGCAAACCCUAAAUCUUAUGGUUUGGACCCUAUUUAAGCAUCAUUAUAGCCCCAUACCCCAUUUAUCUUCAGCCUCCAUCCCUAUCUCGAAACCCUAAAGUAAGUGAGUGCGUUUUGAAGCGUGAUGAGCCUUUUUUUGUGCCAUUCUAGUGCUUUUAGUGGUGAAGGAGGAACCUAGAAGUUGUGGUGUUAAGUCAUAAAAAUAUGAUCUUGGACAUUAGUUCCUUCACAUGCAUGAUCUAGAUUGUCUUAAUGGGUCAAGAGACUAGGGUCUUUGGUAAUACAGUCUUAUUAGCCAUGAAAAACCAAAAAGUUGGAAACUUUAUAGUUCUGAACACUUGUUAGGGUCUUGAUCUAGAUUUUGGAUGUAAGUCUUAAGGAUUUAGCGUUUAAUGGAUUGGAUGGGUGGCAGCCGCGAACGUUGGGCAUAGCAACGGGUAGAUUGUACGUUCAGGGUCAGCCCUUUGACAUUUGGUCAAGCGAGUAGUAUUACCCAUUUCUAGAAUAUUAAGUUAUUCCAAAUUCUCGUUCGUAAUUUUGGAAGUAAGUAGCGAUUUAAGAUUGUAAGGGACCAUUGGUAGAUUGCCCAAGGUGAUGCAUAAAGAAAAUUUUGCAACAGAUGCUCAUGAGUACUUUAAAUGGAGAUUUUAAGGUAUUUGAGUAACCCACGCUUAGAGUUUACUUCAUGGAUUAUAUUACAAGUAAAUCUAAGAUGGUAAUAUCAUAUAUACGUCAAAUGGAGAUGCUUGGGAUUCUCUCCUACAAUCUUUUUUUGUUUUGGUUUCCCCCAAACAUUCUCUCCUACGCUUAGAGAUUACUUCAUGGAUUCUAUUACAAGUAGUCGAAGUUUGUUUGUUCGCGUUUCCCUCAAAAAAUAAAAAUAGAUAUCAUUGUUCCCAUCGAUGAUUUGAUUUUGACAUUAAAAUACAUGGUCGUGCUCAGACUGAAUUGAUGGAUAAAUUAUGCAGUUUUCUUUUGAUUGAUACAAAUUAGUAUCUGGAAAAAAAAUCUUGAACAUUUGAGAUUGAAUGUAUCAAUGUCUCAUUUUCAUAUACAUAUCUCGAAGAACAAAGGAACAUUUGAUUACAUAUCUAAGGGAUAUAUCACAAUUAUAUGUUUUGAGUAUGGCAAAUACAUUUGACUAGAUCCUCUCUACUCAUUACUAUUAAAUAUUAGACCAUAUAGUCUUGGUGACUUGUGCAAGUUGAGGUCUUAGUAGAGUUACAACACAGUGACAACAAUUAGUACAAGCGGAUUGAUAUGUAAGUUUUUAGUACAUAAUGUUAUAAGAUGGAAGUUUGGGUAUACACAUAACCGUUAUUACCCUUUGAGGGAUGACACACUUGAUAAUAAAAAGAAAAUAUAAAAAGACAAGUUUAGUUUUAUGUAAAACCCAUUAAAAAGUUGUUAUAAACAUGUAGUAGUUGUAAUAUAUCUUAAAAACUGUGCACAAAAUGAAUAUAAAAAAAGACAUUGAAUUAUUAAAAAAAAUCAAUUUCUUAAACAAAUUUCUAAAAAAACUAGUUUCUUAAAAAUGUAAAAACAAACUUGUAUAAACAAGUUGUGGCAAAUUUUUAAACAAAGUUACGGCCAAAGUAAUAUCGAAAAUAAAAACAUUGGCAAUCUUGUAAAGAAAAGGCAACCUCUAAACAUAGAAACCUGCAAUAACGAGUCAUUGUAAUAAAGAAGAAAUAAAACAUUGGCUUUUCUUACUUCUACAAAUAAUAAAAUGUUAACAUGUAACUUUUAUAUAUUUAAAAUAUUUGGUAACACAUUUAGUUUUGGUAUUAGCCAUUUAUUUGGUUUUGCAACCAUAUGAUUGCAAACAUCGCACAGGCACAUAGAGGCUCAAACGUACACAGUCAGAUUCAAUUGGGGAUGGAGGGAACAACUAGAAAUAAUGAUAACUGGAUUCUUGAACAAACGAUAAACCUUCUAACAUGUUAUGUUAAAGCAAAUAAUAUGCGUGAAGCAUAAAUCAUUGAGAAAGAUUGCAAACCAACUGCAACUGCAUAUGCUAUUGUACAUAAAAGAUCACAUGAUGAAACGUUUACCAGCAAGAGCAAUGUGUGAGACUCUACUAUUUUGGUGUCAGGUAGCCCUUGGAGUUCCCCCAAACACUUCAGUAGGAAAUCAUCAAUAAAGCAUCCCAAUGAAGUGUUCGGAGGAGCUCUGAGGGACACCUGGCUUUUCCUUCAUCUGUAUUUGCUUGAAGUUGAUUGCUUUGUUUUGAAAAUACACAUGCCAGAAUUACUUGGUAUAUAUAUAGAGAGAGGGAGUAGAGGUGAUUUUCUGAUCCACGAACAUAGAUACAUCAGCAGCAUGAACAUGGUUGCCAUCGUGUCUCUAUUAGGAGAUAUAUUUUCCCAUAAUCCCAAUUUUCACAUAAAGGGAAAUAUAUGAGAGUGACGAGUUAUGCUGAGGACCAGGUGAACAUGGGUAUCAUAUUUUCAUCUGAUCAUCUAUCCGAUGUACAUGACCACAUUCAAUCUCUGACCUACCAUAUAUAACAUAUUAGCACAAGAUUUGAUAAUGGGAAAGUGAUGUAUAUUGAUGAUUAAUUCAAAACUAGAAUUGAAUCGAAUAUACCAUGACUGCAAUAUCAUGUAAAGAAAUGAUGCAUGCAGAUUUAUAUAUAAGGUUACAUACACGGCAAGAGGCAGGACAUGCAAAAUUCUGCUCUAAUUGAACUUUUUGUGAAAGAUUUCCUAUUGCAGGUCCACUAGUCUGAUUCUCUUCUUACUCUCAUAAGCUCCCUCGAUUGUAACCCCACUAUCAUUUUCAAGUUUCAACCAUUACCCUCCAAUUAUGUUCAAAUGUGUAUAAACUAUAAAAGGCGUUGAAAGAUUCUCACAUCCACAUAUUCACCCUACACCUAUCACCAUAUAUUUGGAGACUGCAUCUCAUUGUGCACCGGCUUGUAAUUUUCUUUUCUUCUGAUUUUCAUUCGUAUGUAUUCUGCACCCUGUAAUUUACCAGGUAGCUUCCAAUCUUUAUGUUUUUAUAAAUCUGCGGUUCUAGAAAAAAGUUGUAGAGAGACCGAAGAGCAACUUACCACGUAAAUAAAGAUCCAGUUGAAAAAAAUUGAUUUAUCAACCCCCCUCUAUUCUUUCCAAUUGAUAACUAUAGUUACUGUUGGUGAUAAUGAAGAGCAUUGACGAUGGAGUAGACUUUGAAUGAUAUGGGAAAGGAAGCAGCAACCAUUUGAUCAAGGGGAGGUUUUCUGAUUGCGUUGGAGGAACGAUUUUGUUUACAUAAGUUGAAUAAAAAUAAACUAGUUAACGAUUUAUUUUAGGUUUAAAACACAAACAGGUAAUAAGCCGAUUUAAAUGUAAGAAAAUUUACAAAAAAUAACGACUAUAAAGAACAAUUAGAAAAAGAAUUAAAAAAAUAGUUUCUUAAAUUUUUUUUAUUUAAAACCAUUUGUUUAAAUAAUGUAAAACUAUAUUGCAAAAAUAUGGUGCAAAUUUGUAAAAACAAAUCCGAAGCUAAAUCAUAAUUUUUUUUUUUUUAAAUCCGGUGCCGAACUCGCUAUAGCCCAUCACACAGUAAGCAAUUUUGAUUAAAAUGAUCGUCGGGGUCGGUGGGGNGUCAAGGUGGAUAGAUGAUGAGGGUUGGUUUAGGGUACGACAAAAUACAAUGAAUUUGAAGCCAACAUCGGGAAGGGUCAUUGAAACUUAAUCAUAAGCAAGUAAGUUCUCAUGUUCUCGUUCAGCGUACGCUAGAUUAAAAUAAAUUCUAGGAGAAAUUGAGAUGAUAAGAACAUCAUCCUCGUCAUUACAGCCAGAUAGAUCGAUUGAGAGGGAAGUAAAAGGUAGGAGAUGGCGAUUUCCAUCUACUAACACCUCAUAGAUUGAUGUUUAAGCUAACUUUAUUCAAAUAGUGCGUGGAGGAAUCUACUGUUUAAUUUUAAGGUAUGAGUUAUUCCCAUUUGUAUUGAACUUAGGUUUGGAGCGUGUAGUGGAAAAAAAAAUCCGUUUCGUGUUUAUUUUAGGGACAGAGUUUUGUUUUUAACCAUUUGUAGAUAAUUUAUGUGGUUGCAAACUCCGAUCUAUCACCCACUUGAUAGAUUUGGAGUGUUUGGGUGAAAAACAUAAUUAUGACCUAUGUUUCCAAUUGGGUGUUACGUGUGUUGGAUUGCUACCCCAGAUGGCGAGAGCAAGCGAACGAUUUAGAUGCUCAAAGAUACGCUUCCGACUUAUGUAUUUGAUUUUGGAGGGAGUUGGAAUACUUACCUUCCACUGGCUGAGUUCUCCUACAAAAGCAGUUAUCAUGCCAGUACUCACCGGCCAUCGUUUAAGAUGUUAUAUGGAUGGAGGUGCAAUACCCGGUUUGCAUGGGGGAGGUCGGGCAUCGGGUCAUGGGUGUACUGAGGUGGUACUCAAGACCAUUGAAAUGAUUCAGUAGGUGCACGACAUGUUGCGAGUCCCCUGAAGCCGAUUGGAGAGUUACGCAGAUCGGGGACGUUCGGACCUCGUGUUUCAUGAGGGGGUUUGGUGCUUUUUAAGAUCUCACCUUGGAAAGGUGUCAUCCGAUUUCAAAAGUCGGGAAGCUGGUAGUAGAUUUAUUAGUCCCUUCAGGGUUUCUUCCCUGGUGGGAAAUGUUGCAUACCGUCUGGAUUUUCCUGAUGAGCUCAGCCGGAUCUACAAAACCUUCCAUAUGUCUCAGCUUCGGAAGUGUGCUGCCGAUUAGCUCAAAGUUGUUCCUUUGGAUUACAUUCAGGUUGAUGAUCGUCUGAAUUAUGUGAAGAGAUCGGUGACGAUCUAGGAUUGGAAGACGAGCACUCUUUGCAACAAAGGAGUAUCACUACACAAGGUCUAGUGGCAUCAUCAGAAGGAUUUCGAAUGGAAGUGGGAGCCUGAGGCGGCGAUGCAAGAGCACUACCCUAAUUUAUUUGCAAAAACAGACUUUGAGGACGAAAUCUAGUUUAAGUGGGGGAGAGUUAUAACAUCUUGACUUCCAAGUAUUUUAAAAUUUUACACUUGAUUUGAGUUUGGUUUUAAAAUUUAGUCCCAAGCGGUAUUUUUAUAAUUUUUGCAUGGGAAUCUCGUACGUUGGGCGUACGUGGAGAGGGUGCAAACCCUAAAUUUUAUGGUUUGGACCCUACUUAAGCAUCAUUAUAGCCCCAUACCCUCAUUUAUCUUCAGCCUCCAUCCCUAUCUCGAAACCCUAAAGUAAGUGAGUGAGUUUUGUAGCGUGAUGAGCCUUUUUAGUGCCAUUCUAGUGCUCUUAGUGGUGAAGGAGGAACCUAGAAGUUGUGGUGUUUCACUCAAGGCUUUGGAUCCUACAACUACUCUGUCUUGUCUUGUUCAUCUUCUGGAGAUAUAAAGCUACCACUUGAUGAAUAUUUCAUUAAGAUGUAGUUUAGUUUAAAGUUAGCACCUUUUUGUACCAAAUCUUGAUUCUUAUGAGUAUGGAGUACUCCAUGAUGUUUGAGUUGUCAUUUCAGAUGUUAUAGGGUGUGUUAAGUCAUAAAAAUAUGAUCUUGGACAUUAGUUCCUUCACAUGCGUGAUCUAGAUUGUCUUAUUGGGUCAAGAGACUAGGGUCUUUUUAGCCAUGAGAAACCAUAAAGUUGGAAACUUUAUGGUUCUGAACACUUGUUAGGGUCUUGAUUUAGUUUUUGGACGUAAGUCUUAAGGAUUUAGCAUUUAAUGGAUUGUGUGGGUGGCAGCCACGAAAGUUGGGAAUAACAACGGGUAGACUGCACGUUCGGGGUCAGCCCUUUGAGAUUUGGUCAAGCAAGUAGUAUUACCCAUUACUAGUAUUUUAAGUUAUUAAAAAUUCUCGUUCGUACUUUUGGAAGUAGGUAGUGAUUUAAGAUUGUAAUGAAGCAUUGGUAGAUUGUCCAUGGUGAUGCAUAAAGAAAAUUUUUGAACAAAUGCUCAUGAGUACUUUAAAUGAAGAUUUUAAGGUAUUGGAUUAACCCACACUUAGAGAUUACUUCAUGGAUUCUAUUACAAGUAAUUCUAAGAUGGUAAUAUCAUAUAUCCUUCAAAUGGAGAUGCUUGGGAUUCUCUCCUACAAUCUUUUUUUGUUUUGGUUUCCCCCAAACAUUGUUCGUAAAUGGCAAUCAUAAAGGGUUUGACUAGAUAUGGCAUAAGCAAUAGGCAAAAUCUUUAUAGUCGAAGUUUGUUUGUUCGCUUUUCCCUCAAAAACUAAAAAUAGAUAUCAUUGUUCCCCUCGAUGAUUUGUUGUUGACAUUAAAAUACAUGGUCGUGCUCAGACUGAAUCGAUGGAUCAAUUAUGCAGUUUUCUUUUGAUUGAUAGAAGUUAGUAUCGGGAAACAAAAUCUUGAACAUUUGAGAUCGAAUAUAUAAAUGUCUCAUUUUCAUAUACAUAUCUUGAAGAAUAAAGGAACAUUUGAUUAGUUAUCUAAGGGAUAUAUCACAAUCAUGUGUUUUGAGUAUGGAAAAUACAUUUGACUAGAUCCUCUCUACUCAUUACUAUUAAAUAUUAGACCAUAUAGUCUUGGUGACUUGUGCAAGUUGAGGUCUUAGAAAAUGGUGCCUAGAUUUACAACACAGUGACAACAAUUAGUACAAGCGGAUUGAUAUGUAAGUUAUUAGUACAUAAUGUUAUAAGAUGCAAGUUUGGGUAUACAGAUAACCGUUAUUACCCUUUGAGGGAUGAAUCACCUGAUAAUAAAAAGAAAAUAUAAAAAGACAAGUUUACUUUUAUGUAAAACCCAUUAAAAAGUUGUUAUAAACAUGUAGUAGUUGUAAUAUAUCUUAAAAACUAUGCAUAAAAUGAAAAUAUAAAAAAAGAAAUUGAAUUAGUAAAAAAAAUCAAUUUCUUGNAAAUCAAUUUCUUAAACAAAUUUCUUAGAAAACCAGUUUCUUAAAAAUGUAAAAACAAACUUGUAGAAACAAGUUGUGGCAUAUUUGUAAACAAAGUUACGGCCAAAGUAAUAUUGAAAAUAAAAACAUUGGCAAUCUUGUAAAGAAAAGGUAUCCUCUAAACAAACAAACCUGCAAUAAUGAGUCAUUGUGACAAAGAAGAAAUAAAACAUUGGCUUUUCUUACUUCUACAAAUAAUAAAAUGUUAACAUGUAACUUUUAUAUAUUUAAAAUAUUUGGCAACCCAUUUAGUUUUGGUAAUAGCCAUUUAUUUUGUUUUGCAACCAUAUGAUUGCAAACAUCGCACACGCACAUAGAGGCUCACACGCACACAGUCAGAUUCAAUUCGGGAUGGAGGGAACAACAAGAAAUAAUGAUAACUGGAUUCUAUAACAAACGACAAACCUUCAAAAUCCUUAAUUCAUAGCUAUCAUUUGUAGUUUAAUACUCAUGGAUUUUAGUAAUUGCUGCUCUAGAAAUGCAUUUAGAAAAUUUCAUUAAACCCAAUCACUUACUAAGAAACACGUUGUGUUAAAGCUAAUAAUAUGCGUGAAGCAUAAAUCAUUGAGAAAGAUUGCUAACCAACUGCAACUGAAUAUGCUAAUGUACAUAAAAGAUCACAUGAUGAAACGUUUACCAGCAAUAGCAAUGUGUUAGAUCUACUAUUUUGGUGUCAAGUAGCCCUUGGAGUUCCCCCAAACACUUCAGUAGGAAAUCAUUAAUAAAGCAUCCCAAUGAAGUGUUCGGAGGAUCUCUGAGGGACACUUGGCUUUUCCUACAUCUGUAUUUGCUUGAAGUUGAUUGCUUUGUUUAGAAAAUAAACGUGCCAGAAUUACUUGGUAUAUAUAGAGGGAGAGGGAGUAGAGGUUAUUUUCUGAUCGAUGAACAUGGAUACAUCAGCAGCAUGAACAUGGUUGCCAUCGUGUCUCUAUUAGGAGAUAUAUUUUCCCAUAAUCCCAAUUUUCACAUAAAGGGAAAUAUAUGAGAGUGACGAGUUAUGCUGAGGACCAGGUGAACAUGGGUAUCAUAUUCUCAUUUGAUCAUCUAUCCCAUAUACAUGACCACAUUCAAUCUCUGACCUACAAUAUAUAACAUAUUAGCAUAAGAUUUGAUAAUGGGAAAGAGAUGUAUAUUGAUUAUUCAUUCAAAACUAGAAUUGAAUCGAAUAUACCAUGACUGCAAUAUCAUGUAAAGAAAUGAUGCAUGCUGAUUUAUAUAUAAGGUUACAGACACGGCAAGAGGCAGGACAUGCAAAAUUCUGCUCUAAUUGAACUUUUUGUGAAAGAUUUCCUAUUGCAGGUCCACUAGUCUGAUUCUCUUCUUACUCUCAUAAGCUCCCUCGAUUAUAACCCCACUAUCAUUUUCAAGUUUCAACCAUUACCCUCCAAUUAUGUUCAAAUGUGUAUAAACUAUAAAAGGCGUUGAAAGAUUCUCACAUCCACAUAAUCACCCUACACCUAUCACCAUAUAUUUGGAGACUGCAUCUCAUUGUGCACCUGCUUGUAAUUUUGUUUUCUUCUGAUUUUCAUUCGUAUGUAUUCUGCCCCCUGUAAUUUACCAGCUAGCUUUCAAUCUUUUUGUUUUUAAAAAUCUGCGGUUCUAGAAAAAAGUUGUAGAGAGAAUGAAGAGCAACUUACCAGGUAAAUAAAGAUCCAGUUGAAAAAAAUUGAUUUAUCAAUCCCCCUCUAUUUUUUUUUUCAAUUGAUAAAUAUAGUUACUGUUGGUGAUAAUGAAGAGCAUUGACGAUGGAGUAGACUUUGAAUGAUAUGGGAAAGGAAGCAGCAACCAUUUGAUCAAGGGGAGGUUUUCCGAUUGCGUUGGAGCAACGAUUUCUGUUUACAUAAGUUGAAUAAAAAUAAACUAGUUAACGAUUUAUUUUAGGUUUAAAACACAAACAGGUAAUAAGCCGAUUUAAAUGAAAGAAAAUUCACAAAAAAUAACGACUAUAAAGAACGAUUAGACAAAGAAUUAAAAACACCGUUUCUUAAAUUUUUUUAUUUAAAAUCAUUUUUUUUAAAUAAUGUGAAACUAUAUUUCAAAAAUAUGGUGCAAAUUUGUAAAAACAAAUCCGAAGCUAAUUCAUAAUUUUUUUUUUAAAUCCGGUGACGAACUCGCUAUAGCCCAUCAGAUGGUUUAUGUGAGGACGAACUCAUGAAGUCAAGGUGGAUAGAUGAUGAGGGUUGGUUUAGGGUACGACAAAAUACAAUGAAUUUGAAGCCAACAUCGGGAAGGGUCAUUGAAACUUAAUCAUCAGCAAGUAAGUUCUCAUGUUCUCGUUCAGCCUACGCUAGAAUAAAAUGAAUUCCAGGAAAAAUUGAGAUGAUAAGAACAUCAUCCUCGUCAUUACAGCCAGAUAGAUCGAUUGAGAGGGAGGUAAAAGGUAGGAGAUGGCGAUUUCCAUCUACUAACACCUCAUAGAUUGAUGUUUAAGCUAACUUUAUUCAAAUAGUGCGUGGAGGAAUCUAAUGUUUAAUUUUAAGGUAUGAGUUAUUCCCAUUUGUAUUGAACUUAGGUUUGAAGCGUUUAUUGGAAAUAAAAAUCCGUUUCGUGUUCAUUUUAGGGACAGGAUUUUCUUUUUAACCAUUUGUAGAUAAUUUAUGUGGUUGCAAGCUCCGAUCUAUCACCCACUUGAUAGAUUUGGUGUGUUUGGGUGAAAAACAUAAUUAUGACCUAUGUUUCCAAUUGGGGGUUACGUGUGUUGGAUUGCCACUUCAGAUGGCGAGAGCAAGCGAACGAUUCAGAUGCUCAAAGAUUCGCUUUGGUCUUAUGUAUUAGAUUUUGGAGGGAGUUGGAAUACUUACCUUCCACUGGCUGAGUUCUCCUACAAAAGCAGUUAUCAUGCCGGUACUCACCGGCCAUCGUUUAAGAUGUUAUAUGGAAGGAGGUGCAAUACCCGGUUUGCACGGGAGAGGUCGGGCAUCGGGUCAUGGGUGUACUGAGGUGGUACUCAAGACCAUUGAAUUGAUUCCGUAGGUGCACGACAUUUUGCAGGUCCCCUAAAGCCGAUAGGAGAGUUAUGCAGAUCGGGGACGUUCGGACCUUGUGUUUCAGGAGGGGGAUUUGGUGCUUUUAAAGAUGUCACCUUGGAAAUAUGUGAUCCGAUUUCAAAAGUCGGGAAGCUGGCAGCAGAUUUAUUGGUCCCUUCAGGAUUUCUUCCCUGGUGGGAAAUGUUGAACACCAUCUGGAUUUUCCUGAUGACUCAGCCGGAUGUACAAAACCUUCCAUGUGUCUCAAGUUCGGAAGUGUGUCGUCAAUUAGCUCGAAGUUGUUCAUUUGGAUUACAUUCAGGUUGAUGAUCGUCUAAAUUAUGUGAAGAGAUCGGUGACGAUCUUGGAUUGGAAGACGAACACUCUUUGCAACAUAGGAGUAUCACUACACAAGGUCCAGUGGCAUCAUCGGAAGGAUUUCGAAUGGAAGUGGGAGCCUGAGGCGGCAAUGCGAGAGCACUACCUUAAUUUAUUUGCAACAACAGACUUUGUGGACGAAGUCUAGUUCAAGUGGGGGAGAGUUGUAACAUUUUUAUUUGCAAGUAUUUUAAAAUUUUACACUUGAUUUGAGUUUGGUUUUAAAAUUUUGUCCCAAGCGGUAUUUUCGUAAUUUUUGCGUAGGAGACUCGUACGUUGGGCGUACAUGGCGAGGGUGCAAACCCUAAAUUUUAUGGUUUGGACCCUAUUUAAGCAUCAUUAUAGACCACACCCUCAUUUAUCUUCAGCCUCCAUCCCUAUCUCGAAACCCUAAAGUAAGUGAGUGAGUUUUGAAGCGUGAUGAGCCUUUGUAGUGCCAUUCUAGUGCUCUUAGUGCUGAAUUAGGAACCUAGAAGUUGUCGUGUUUCACUCAAGGCUUUGGAUCCUAGAACUACUCUGUCUUGUUCAUCUUCUGGAGGUAUAAAGCUACAACUUGAUGAUUACCCUAUCUCGAAACCCUAAAGUAAGUGAGUGAGUUUUGAAGCGUGAUGAGCCUUUGUAGUGCCAUUCUAGUGCUCUUAGUGCUGAAUUAGGAACCUAGAAGUUGUUGUGUUUCACUCAAGGCUUUGGAUCCUACAACUACUAUGUCUUGUUCAUCUUCUGGAGGUAUAAAGCUACGACUUGAUGAAUAUUUCAUUAAGAUGUAGUUUAGUUUAAUGUUAGCACCUUUUUGUACCAAAUAUUGAUUCUUAUGAGUAUGGAGUACUCCAAGAUGUUUGAGUUGUCAUUUCAGAUGUUAUAGGGUGUGUUAAGUCAUAAAAAUAUGAUCUUGGACAUUAGCUCCUUCACAUGCAUGAUCUAGAUUGUCUUAAUGGGUCAAGAGACUAGGGUCUUUUUAGCCAUGAAAACCCAUAAAGUUGGAAACUUUAUGGUUCUGAACACUUGUUAGGGUCUAGAUCUAGAUUUUGGACGUAAGUGCUUAAGGAUUUAGCACUUAAUGGAUUGGGUAGGUGGCAACCACGAACGUUGGGCAUAGCAACGGGUAGACUGUACGAUCAGGGUCAGCCCUUCGACAUUUUCUCAAGCAAGUAGUAUUACCGAUUUCUAGAUUAUUAAGUUAUUCAAAAUUCUCGAUCGUGCUUUUGGAAGUAAGUAGUGAUUUAAGAUUAUAAUGGAGCAUUGAUAGAUUGUCCAUGGUGAUGCAUAAAGAAAAUUUUGGAAUAAAUGCUCAUGAGUACUUUAAAUGGAGAUUUUAAGGUAUUGGAGUAACCCACACUUAGAGAUUACUUCAUGGAUUCUAUUACAAGUAAUUCUAAGAUGGUAAUAUCAUAUAUACGUCAAACGGAGAUGCUUGGGAUUCUCUCCUACAAUCUGUUUUGUUUUGGUUUCCCCCAAACAUUGUUCGUAAAUGGCAAUUAUAAAGGGUUUGAGUAGAUAUGACAUGCACAAUAGGCAGAAUCUUUUAAGUCGAAGUUUAUUUGUUCGCUUCUCCCUCAAAAAAUAAAAACAGAUAUCAUUGUUCCCAUCGAUGAUUUGAUUUUGACAUUAAAAUACAUGGUCGUGCUCAUACUAAAUUGAUGGAUAAAUUAUGCAGUUUUCUUUUGAUUGAUACAAAUUAGUAUCGGGAAACAAAAUCUUGAACAUUUGAGAUUGAAUGUAUCAAUGUCUCAUUUUCAUAUACAUAUCUCGAAGAACAAAGGAACAUUUGAUUACAUAUCUAAGGGAUAUAUCACACUUAUAUGUUUUGAUUAUGACAAAUACAUUUGACUAGAUCCUCUCUACUCAUUACUAUUAAAUAAUAGACCAUAUAGUCUUCGUGACUUGUGCAAGUUGAGGUCUUAGAAAAUGGUGCCAAGAGUUACAACACAGUGACAUGUAAGUUAUUAGUACAUAAUGUUAUAAGAUGCAACUUUGGGUAUACACAUAACCGUUAUUACCCUUUGAGGGAUGAAUCACCUGAUAAUAAAAAGAAAAUAUAAAAAGACAAGUUUACUUUUAUGUAAAACCCAUUAAAAAGUUGUUAUAAACAUGUAGUAGUUGUAAUAUAUCUUAAAAACUAUGAAUAAAAUGAAUAUAUAAAAAAAGAAAUUGAAUUAGUAAAAAAAAUCAAUUUCUUAAACAAAUUUCUUAAAAAACCAGUUUCUUAAAAAUGUAAAAACAAACUUGUAGAAACAAGUUGUGGCAUAUUUGUAAACAAAGUUACGGCCAAAGUAAUAUUGAAAAUAAAAACAUUGGCAAUCUUGUAAAGAAAAGGUAUCCUCUAAACAAACAAACCUGCAAUAAUGAGUCAUUGUGACAAAGAAGAAAUAAAACAUUGGCUUUUCUUACUUCUACAAAUAAUAAAAUGUUAACAUGUAACUUUUAUAUAUUUAAAAUAUUUGGCAACCCAUUUAGUUUUGGUAAUAGCCAUUUAUUUUGUUUUGCAACCAUAUGAUUGCAAACAUCGCACACGCACAUAGAGGCUCACACGCACACAGUCAGAUUCAAUUCGGGAUGGAGGGAACAACAAGAAAUAAUGAUAACUGGAUUCUAUAACAAACGACAAACCUUCAAAAUCCUUAAUUCAUAGCUAUCAUUUGUAGUUUAAUACUCAUGGAUUUUAGUAAUUGCUGCUCUAGAAAUGCAUUUAGAAAAUUUCAUUAAACCCAAUCACUUACUAAGAAACACGUUGUGUUAAAGCUAAUAAUAUGCGUGAAGCAUAAAUCAUUCAGAAAGAUUGCUAACCAACUGCAACUGAAAAUGCUAAUGUACAUAAAAGAGCCCAUGAUGAAACGUUUACCAGCAAUAGAAAUGUGUUAAACUCUACUAUUUUGGUGUCAAGUAGCCCUUGGAGUUCCCCCAAACACUUCAGUAGGAAAUCAUUAAUAAAGCAUCCCAAUGAAGUGUUCGGAGGAUCUCUGAGGGACACUUGGCUUUUCCUACAUCUGUAUUUGCUUGAAGUUGAUUGCUUUGUUUAGAAAAUAAACGUGCCAGAAUUACUUGGUAUAUAUAGAGGGAGAGGGAGUAGAGGUUAUUUUCUGAUCGAUGAACAUGGAUACAUCAGCAGCAUGAACAUGGUUGCCAUCGUGUCUCUAUUAGGAGAUAUAUUUUCCCAUAAUCCCAAUUUUCACAUAAAGGGAAAUAUAUGAGAGUGACGAGUUAUGCUGAGGACCAGGUGAACAUGGGUAUCAUAUUCUCAUUUGAUCAUCUAUCCCAUAUACAUGACCACAUUCAAUCUCUGACCUACAAUAUAUAACAUAUUAGCAUAAGAUUUGAUAAUGGGAAAGAGAUGUAUAUUGAUUAUUCAUUCAAAACUAGAAUUGAAUCGAAUAUACCAUGACUGCAAUAUCAUGUAAAGAAAUGAUGCAUGCUGAUUUAUAUAUAAGGUUACAGACACGGCAAGAGGCAGGACAUGCAAAAUUCUGCUCUAAUUGAACUUUUUGUGAAAGAUUUCCUAUUGCAGGUCCACUAGUCUGAUUCUCUUCUUACUCUCAUAAGCUCCCUCGAUUGUAACCCCACUAUCUGUUUCAAGUUUCAACCAUUACCCUCCAAUUAUGUUCAAAUGUGUAUAAACUAUAAAAGGCGUUGAAAGAUUCUCACAUCCACAUAUUCACCCUACACCUAUCACCAUAUAUUUGGAAGACUGCAUCUGAUUGUGCACCUGCCUUUUCUUCUGAUUUUUAUUCGUGUGUAUUCUGCACCCUGUAAUUUACCAGCUAGCUUCCAAUCUUUUUGUGUUUAUAAAUCUGCGGUUCUAGAAAAAAGUUGUAGAGAGAAUGAAGAGCAACUUACCAAGUAAAUAAAGAUCCAGUUGAAAAAAAUUGAUUUAUCAAUCCCCCUCUAUUCUUUCCAAUUGAUAACUAUAGUUACUGUUGGUGAUAAUGAAAAGCAUUGACGAUGGAGUAGACUUUGAAAUAUAAGGGAAAGGAUGCAGCAACCAUUUGAUCAAGGAGAGGUUUUCGGAUUGCGUUGGAGGAACGAUUUCUGUUUACAUAAGUUGAAUAAAAAUAAACUAGUCAACGAUUUAUUUUAGGUUUAAAACAGAAACAUAUAAUAAACCGAUUUAAAUGUAAAAAAUUUACAAAAAAUAACGACUAUAAAGAACAAUUAGAAAAAGAAUUAAAAAAACAGUUUCUUAAAUUUUUUUAUUUAAAAUCAUUUUUUUAAAUAAUGUAAAACUAUAUUGCAAAAAUAUGAUGCAAAUUUGUAAAAACAAAUCCGAAGCUAACUCAUAAAAAAAAAAAAAAAUUAAAUCCGGUGCCGAACUUGCUAUAGCCCAUCACACAGUAAACAAUUUCGAUUAAAAUCAUCGUCGGGGGAGGUGGGGGGGUAUUUCUGAUGGUUUCUGUGAGGACGAGCUCAUGAAGUCAAGGUGGAUAGAUGAUGAGGGUUGGUUUAGGGUACGACAAAAUACNAUGUGAGAACGAGAUCAUGAAGUCAAGGUGGAUAGAUGAUGAGGGUUGGUUUAGGUUACGCCAAAAUAUAGUGAAUUUGAAGCCAACAUCGGGAAGGGUCAUUGAAACGUAGUCAUCAGCAGGUGAGUUCUCAUGUUCUUGUUCAGCGUACGCUAGAAUAAAAAAAUUCCAAGAGAAAUUGAGAUGAUAAGAACAUCAUCCUCGUCAUUACAGCUAGAUAGAUCGAUUGAUAGGGAGGUAAAAUGUAGGAGAUGGCGAUUUCCAUCUACUAACACAUCAUUGAUUGCAUUUUAAGCUAACUUUAUUCAAUUGGUGUGUGGAGGAAUCUAAUGUUUAAUUUUAAGGUAUGAGUUAUUCCUAUUUGUAUUGAACUUAGGUUUGAAGCUUGUAGUGGAAAUCAAAAUCCUUUUAGUGUUCAUUUGAGGGACAGGGUUUUGUUUUUAAGCAUUUCCAGAUAAUUGAUUUGGUUACAAGCUCCGAUCUAUCACCCACUUGAUAAAUUUGGUGUGUUUGGGUGAAAAACAUAAUUAUGAACCCUAUGUUUCCAAUUGGGUGUUACGUGUGUUGGAUUGCCACCCCAGACGGCGAGAGAAAGCGAACGAUUCAGACGGUCAAAGAUAUGCUUUGGUCUUAUGUAUUAGAUUUUGGAGGGAGUUGGAAUACUUACCUUCCACUGGCCAAGUUCUCCCACAAAAGCAAUUAUCCUGCCAAUAUUCACAGACCAUCGUUUAUGAUGUUAUAUGGAAGGAGGUGCAACACUCGGUUUGCUCGGGGGAGGUCGGGCAUCGGGUCAUGGGUGUAAUGAGGUGGUACUCAAGACCAUUGAAUUGAUUCAGUAGGUACACGACAGGCUGCGAGUCACGUAAAGCCGAUAGGAGAGUUACGCAAAUCGGGGACGUUUGGACCUCGUGUUUCAGGAGGGGGAUUUUGUGCAUCUAAAGAUGUCACCUUGGAAAUGUGUCAUCCGAUUUCCAAAGUCAAGAAGCUGGCCGUAGAUUUAUUGGUCCCUUCAGGAUUUCUUCCUUGGUUGGAAAUGUUGCAUUCCGUCUGUAUUUGCCUGAUGAACUCAGCCGGAUCUACAAAACCUUCCAUGUGUCUCAACUUCGAAGUGUGUCGCCGAUUAGCUCGCAGUUGUUCCUUUGGAUUACAUUCACGUUGACGAUCGUCUGAAUUAUGUGAAGAGACCGGUGAUGAUGUUGGAUUGGAAGACGAUCACUCUUUUGCAACAAAGGAAUAUCUCUACACAAGUUCCAAUGGUAUCAUCGGAAGGAUUUUGAAUGGAAGUGGGAGCCUGAGGCAACGAUGCGAGAGCAACCCUAAUUUNCUACCCUAAUUUAGUCGCAGCAACAGAUUUUGAGGACGAAUUCUAGUUCAAGUUGGGGAGAGUUGUAACAUCUUGACUUCCAAGUAUUUUAAAAUUUUACACUUGAUUUGAGUUUGGUUUUAAAAUUUAGUCCCAAGGGAUAUUUUCGUAAUUUUUGCGUAGGACUCACGUACGUUGGGUGUACGUGGCGAGGGUGCAAACCCUAAAUCUUAUGGUUUGGACCCAAUCUAAGCAUCAUUAUAGCCCCAUACCUCAUUUAUUUUCAGCCUCCAUCCUUAUCUCGAAACCCUAAAGUAAGUGAGUGAGUUUUGUAGCGUGAUGAGCCUUUUUAGUGCCAUUCUAGUGCUCUUAGUGGUGAAGGAGGAACCUAGAAGUUGUGGUGUUUCACUCAAGGCUUUGGAUCCUACAACUACUCUGUCUUGUGUAUCUUCUGGAGGUAUAAAGCUACAACUUGAUGAAUAUUUCAUUAAGAUGUAGUUUAGUUUAAAGUUAGCACCUUUUUGUACCAAAUCUUGAUUCUUAUGAGUAUUGAGUACUCCAUGAUGUUUGAGUUGUCUUUUCAGAUGUUAUAGGGUGUGUUAAGUCAUAAAAAUAUGAUGUUGGACAGUAGUUCCUUCACAUGCAUCAUCUAGAUUGUCUUAAUGGGUCAAGAGACUAGGGUCUUUGGUAAUACGGUCUUAUUAGCCAUGAAAAACCAAAAAGUUGGAAACUUUAUGGUUCUGAACACUUGUUAGGGUCUUGAUCUAGAUUUUGGACGUAAGUCUUAAGGAUUUAGCAUUUAAUGGAUUGGGUGGGUGGCAGCCACAAACCUUGGGCAUAGCAACGGGUAGAUUGCACGUUCAGGGUCAGCCCUUUGACGUUUGGUCAAGCGAGUAGUAUUACCCAUUUCUAGAAUACUAAGUUAUUCCAAAUUCUCGUUCGUACUUUUGGAAGUAAGUAGCGAUUUAAGAUUGUAACGGAGCAUUGGUAGAUUGUCCAUGGUGAUGCAUAAAGAAAAUUUUGGAACAGAUGCUCAUGAGUACUUUAAAUGGAGAUUUUAAGGUAUUGGAGUAACCCACACUUAGAGAUUACUUCAUAGAUUCUAUUACAAGUAAUUCUAAGAUGGUAAUAUCAUAUAUACGUCAAAUGGAGAUGCUUGGGAUUCUCUCCUACAAUCUUUUUUGUUUUGGUUCCCCCCAAACAUUGUUUGUAAAUGGCAAUCAUAAAGGGUUUGACUAGAUAUGACAUGAGCAAUCGGCGAAUCUUUGUNGACUAGAUAUGACAUGAGCAAUCGGCAGAAUCUUUGUAGUCGAAGUUUGUUUGUUCGCUUUUCCCUCAAAAAAUAAAAAUAGAUAUCAUUGUUCCCCUCAAUGAUUUGGUGUUGACAUUAAAAUAUAUGGUCGUGCUCAGACUGAAUCGAUGGAUCAAUUUUCCAGUUUUCUUUUGAUUGAUAGAAGUUAGUAUCGGGAAACAAAUUCUUGAACAUUUGAGAUUGAAUAAAGGAACAUUUGAUUACUUAUCUAAGGGAUAUAUCACAAUCUUGUGUUUUGAGUAUGGAAAAUACAUUUGACUAGAUCGUCUCUACUCAUUACUAUUAAAUAUUAGACCAUAUAGUCUUGGUAACUUGUGCAAGUUGAGGUCUUAGAAAAUGGUGCCUAGAGUUACAACACAGUGACAACAAUUAGUACAAGCGGAUUGAUAUGUAAGUUAUUAGUACAUAAUGUUAUAAGAUGCAAGUUUGGGUAUACACAUAACCGUUAUUACCCAUUGAGGGAUGACUCAUCUGAUAAUAAAAAGAAAAUAUAAAAAGACAAGUUUAGUUUUAUGUAAAACCCAUUAACAAGUUGUUAUAAACAUGUAGUAGUUGUAAUAUAUCUUAAAAACUGUGCAUAAAAUGAAUAUCUAAAAAGAGAAAUUGAAUUAGUAAAAAAAAUUAAUUUCUUAAACAAAUUUCUAAAAAAACUAGUUUCUUAAAAAUGUAAAAACAAACUUGUAUAAACAAGUUGUGGCAAAUUUUUAAACAAAGUUACAACCAAAGUAAUAUUGAAAAUAAAAACAUUGGCAAUUUUGUAAAGAAAAGGCAACCUCUAAACAUACAAACCGGCAAUAACGAGUCAUUGUGAUAAAGAAGAAAUAAAACAUUGGCUUUUCUUACUUCUACAAACAAUAAAAUGUUAACAUGUAACUUUUAUAUAUUUAAAAUAUUUGGCAACCCAUUUAGUUUUGGUAAUAGCCAUUUAUUUUGUUUUGCAACCAUAUGAUUGCAAACAUCGCACACGCACAUAGAGGCUCACACGCACACAGUCAGAUUCAAUUCGGGAUGGAGGGAACAACAAGAAAUAAUGAUAACUGGAUUCUAUAACAAACGACAAACCUUCAAAAUCCUUAAUUCAUAGCUAUCAUUUGUAGUUUAAUACUCAUGGAUUUUAGUAAUUGCUGCUCUAGAAAUGCAUUUAGAAAAUUUCAUUAAACCCAAUCACUUACUAAGAAACACGUUGUGUUAAAGCUAAUAAUAUGCGUGAAGCAUAAAUUAUUGAGAAAGAUUGCUAACCAACUGCAACUGCAUAUGCUAAUGUACAUAAAAGAUCACAUGAUGAAACGUUUACCAGCAAUAGCAAUGCAUGAGACUCUACUAUUUUGGUGUCACGUAGCCCUUGGAGUUCCCCCAAACACUUCAGUAGAAAAUCAUUAAUAAAGCAUCCCAAUGUAGUGUUCGGAGGAUCUCUGAGGAAAACUUGGCUUUUCCUUCAUCUGUAUUUGGUUGAAGUUGAUUGCUUUGUUUUGAAAAUAAACAUGCCAGAAUUACUUGGUAUAUAUAAAGAGAGAGGGAGUAGAGGUGAUUUUCUGAUCGAUGAACAUGGAUAGAUCAGCAGCAUGAACAUGGUUGCCAUCGUGUCUCUAUUAGGACAUAUAUUUUCCCGUAAUCCCAAUUUUCACAUAGAGGGAAAUAUAUGAGAGUGACGAGUUAUGCUGAGGACCAGGUGAACAUGGGUAUCAUAUUCUCAUUUGAUCAUCUAUCCCAUAUACAUUACCACAUUCAAUCUCUGACCUACCGUAUAUAACAUAUUAGCACGAGAUUUGAUAAUGGGAAAGAGAUGUAUAUUAUUAUUAAUUNUAGAAUUGAAUCGAAUAUACCAUGACUGCAAUAUCAUGUAAAGAAAUGAUGCAUGCUGAUUUAUAUAUAAGGUUACAGACACGGCAAGAGGCAGGACAUGCAAAAUUCUGCUCUAAUUGACUUUUUGUGAAAGAUUUCCUAUUGCAGGCCCACUAGUCUGAUUCUCUUCUUACUUUCAUAAGCUCCCUCGAUUGUAACCCCACUAUCAUUUGCAAGUUUCAACCAUUACCUUCCAAUUAUGUUCAAAUGUGUAUAAACUCUAAAAGGCGUUGAAAGAUUCUCACAUUCACAUAUUCACCCUACACCUAUCACCAUUUAUUUGGAGACUGCAUCUCAUUGUGCACCUGCUUGUAAUUUUCUUUUCUUCUGAUUUUCAUGCGUAUGUAUUCUGCAUCCUGUAAUUUACCAGCUAGCUUCCAAUCUUUUUGUUUUUAUAAAUCUGCGGUUCUAGAAAAAAGUUGUAGGGAGAAUGAAGAGCAACUUACCAAGUAAAUAAAGAUCCAGUAGACAAAAAUUGAUUUAUCAAUCCCCCUCUAUUCUUUCCAAUUGAUAACUAUAGUUACUGUUGGUGAUAAUGAAGAGCAUUGACGAUGGAGUAGACUUUGAAUGAUAUGGGAAAGGAAGCAGCAACCAUUUGAUCAAGGUGAGGUUUUUCGAUUGCGUUGGAGGAACGAUUUCUGUUUACGUAAGUUGAAUAAAAAUAAACUAGUUAACGAUUUAUUUUUGGUUUAAAACACAAACAGGUAAUAAGCCGAUUUAAAUGAAAGAAAAUUCACAAAAAAUAACGACUAUAAACAACAAUUAGAAAAAGAAUUACAAACACAGUUUCUUAAAUUUUUUUUAUUUAAAAUCAUUUUUUUUAAAUAAUGUGAAACUAUAUUGCAAAAAUAUGGUGCAAAUUUGUAAAAACAAAUCCGAAGCUAACUCAUAAUUUUUUUUUUUAAUCUGGUGCAGAACUUGCUAUAGCCCAUCACUCAGUAAGCAAUUUCGAUUACAAUCAUCGUCGGGGUAGGUGGGGGGGGGGGGUAUUUCUGAUGGUUUCUGUGAGAACGAGAUCAUGAAGUCAAGGUGGAUAGAUGAUGAGGGUUGGUUUAGGGUACGCCUAAAUACAGUGAAUUUGAGCCAACAUCGGGAAGGGUCAUUGAAACGUAAUCAUCAGCAAGUAAGUUCUCAUGUUCUUGUUCAGCGUACGCUAGAAUAAAAAAAUUCCAAGAGAAAUUGAGAUGAUAAGAACAUCAUCAUCGGCAUUACAGCUAGAUAGAUCGAUUGAUAGGGAGGUGAAAGGUAGGAGAUGGCGAUUUCCAUCUACUAACACCUCAUAGAUUGAAUUUUAAGCUAACUUUAUUCAAUUGGUGCGUGGAGGAAUCUAAUGUUUAAUUUUAAGGUAUGAGUUAUUCCUAUUUGUAUUGAACUUAGGUUUGAAGCUAGUAGUGGAAAUCAAAAUCCUUUUAGUGUUCAUUUGAGGGACAGGGUUUUUUUUUUUUAACCAUUUCCAGAUAAUUGAUGUGGUUACAAGCUCCGAUCUGUCACCCACUUGAUAGAUUUGUUGUGUUCGGGUGGAAAACAUAAUUAUGAACCUUGUGUUUCCAAUUGGGGGUUACUUGUUUUGGAUUGCCACCCCAGACGGCGAGAUCAAGCGAACGAUUCAGACGCUCAAAGAUAUGCUUCGGUCUUAUGUAUUAGAUUUUGGAGGGAGUUGGAAUACUUACCUUCCACUGGCUGAGUUCUCCUACAAAAGCAGUUAUCAUGCCAGUAUUCACCGGCCAUCAUUUAAGAUGUUAUAUGGAAGGAGGUGCAAUACCCGGUUUGCACGUGGGAGGUUGGGCUUCGGGUCAUGGGUGUAAUGAGGUGGUACUCAAGACCAUUGAAUUGAUUCAGUAGGUGCACGACAGGCCGCGAGUGGCGUAAAGCCGAUACGAGAGUUACGCAGAUCAGGGACGUUCGUGUUGGAUUAAUGUCUAAGUCCAUAACUAUAAUUGGUAACACUUGACCCGACCUGGCAUGGUCCAUUUGGGUUGCAUGGCAUCAUGCAUUUGGAUAGACUAAAAUGAGAGGAAUAACACUUAAGGUUUGUUAAUAUAUUAUAAGUUCUAAUAUAUUAAUAAGGUUAUUUAAUUAGUGUUGAUCAAGAAUUAAUUUGGAUUUAAUUAAGUGAUCAAAAGGAGACUAAUUAAAUAUAUGGGUUGAUUGUGUAAAUCAUUCAUUCUUAUAUAUGUGGGCUUGUGAUCCAAGAUUCCUUAUGUUGGACUAAGUCCAUGGGGUGACCCAUGGAGGUUAAAAUCCAUGGAGCAUAAGGAAUGGGUAAAGUCAUGAGUUACAUGGUGUAACCCUAAUAGCCACCAUAUAAAAGAAUCCCAUGGCUCAAGAAAUCGUGCACUAUGAGUAUGUGUGAGGGCUAAACGAUUUCAUGGAGUGUUCAAGUUUCUCUCAAGUUAUUCCAAGUGUAUUUGGUGUUGUGUGAAGCAUUUGAGGUGUCACACUUGGGGCACUAGGCACUCAAGCUUCAUGAAGACUUUCUACAUCAAAAGGUAUGUAUUCUAUCUUGUUAUAUUCAUUGUUUUGUAUGCUAGAUUAGGAUAAUACCUUGGAAGUUCAUAUUUGCAUGUAUAAUAGAGAAAACAUAGAUCCAAGGUAUUUAGGGUUGCAUGUACACUUAGGAGUGUUAGAAUGCUCAAAACCCAACAGUGGUAUCAGAGCCUCGGGUUGUUUUCUUGUUAUACCUGCAAUAGAAGCUGAAAAAACGAAUUUGGUGCUGUCUGAUCAUCAGACUCGGCGAGUCCAUCAGAGGACUCGGCGAGUCCAUGCCUAAAAUGUGAUCAAUUCGAUCCAACUCGCCGAGUUGGUUCAUGCACUCGACGAGUUGGACCCCCAGACAGCAUAUUUUCGAGUUUUUUGGCUAGAAAUGGACUAGGAACAUUACCCUAAGUUGUUUUUGAACUUAUAAACUUGUUUUUGAUGUGGUAAUGUUCAUGCUAAUCCAUUUUCAAAGAUAAUUGUCAAUAGAUUCAUGUUUUGUAUUAGUUUAAGGUUUAGACUAAUUACAUGAAAAAGUUUGAUUUGAAUUAUCUUGUUCUUAUGAGUUGCUUAGAUUAAUAGAAAUGUUGAGUGAAAUAGUUGUUUUCAAUCCAUUUUAAUCUAAGAGUUGAGUAUAAAAUGUGUUUGUGUAACUUGUCCUCAAGUUACAUGAAGAGUCACAUUAAAGACUCAUAAAACUCAUAAAAGUUGGCAAUGGUUACAAAAUGAAGAGUCUUGUGUCAUUGAAUAAUUUUUUUUGACUCCAUAACUUGUCCUCAAGUUAUGGAAGUUCAAGAGUCACUUCAUUAAAGAAAAAUAUGUAACCAUAAUUAAAUCCAUAAGUUAUAAAAUAAAGAAAAAGUUAGUUCUUUUAUUAGUUUAAAGUCUUCCAUAACUUGUCCUCAAGUUAUGGAACUUGAAGAGUUUUUGGAUUAAAACUACUUUAAACACAUAAGUUAUGGAAUUAAUUAGUUUUGAAUAGUUUCAAAACUUGCCCUCAAGUUUUGGAAUUUGAAAAGUUUUCAAGUAUGAAUACUUUAAUUCCAAGUUAGCCCUUAGAAUUUUAAAAGUUAAAAUUCAACCCUUAUACUUUAUAAUAUUAUAAGUUAAUAAUAUAUAUAUGUAUAAGAGUAAAGUCAGUCUUACCGCUAGUACGCCUCAUUCACGAAGCCGGUCUAUAAGGUGGGUAUAAGGUUGUUGCCUAUAAAAUGGCAACUUAAUGGGUGUCCACUCUCACCCACCGCUUGCUUGACUGGUGGAGGGUCGUUAGCCGAACGGGUUUGACAGGACUAGAAUUCUCCCUUCAUUAAAAGUAUUAAUGAUAAUACUAAGUAACUAAACUCUUAAUAAUACCCAAUCUUAGUUACUUAGGAAAAAUGUGAAUAAGGUGCUAAUCCAUGAAAUUACACUUUACACUUUGUCUAAGUCGUUAGUGGAGCGUGUGUGGUUAACCGGCACACUAACUUGGACUUAACAAGGUAGGUAAAGGGUGACUUAAUAUUUAUCAUAGUAUCGAUGGAGCGUGUGUGGUUAACCGGCACAUCGAUUGAGGGGUAAUUUAUUAAGGGUACCAAGUGAUUUGCAUGGUUACUUCACACCUUGUUUUGUGAUCCUCGGCAUCCCAGUCACAAAACCUGAAGGGCACACUCGAGAUUGAAACAUGCCUUUGAAAAGUUCAAUGAAUCUCAAAGAUCUAGGAGUUUCAAAACCAAUUAAAACCUAAUAAUACAUUUCGUUUAUCUUGGUGGAAAUUGGUGAAUCGUCAUUCACCUACCUUCAAAUAUUUUAUAGCUUGGAUUACGGCAUACCUCUUCUAAGUUAUAAAAUAGUUUGUUGGGUCCUAGCCUUAAUAUUUCAUAUUGGGUGUCAUAUUAAGGACUUUAAAUCAACUAUCUUGAAUAUCUCCCAAAAGAUGUCUGGUUUAGACACCUAUGAUCUUCCCAAAUCUCUUGAAACAAGGUUUCCUAAUGAAGAUGAUGUCCCAUGGAUAUCAUACUUCUUCACCUCUUCAAAUUAUUCUCCCUAACCCACAAGUUCUUGAAAAGUUUAAGGUCACUCAGGCCCUAUUAGCAAGGCAAGGUCUAGGUGUGGUCACAUCUUGGAGAUGUAGUCACAUAUUGACAAGCCGGGAGAGUUGGGUGUCAAAGUCUUGAGAAAGUUGGUGGUUCAACCACUUUCUAAGUCACAUAGUGAGUUCCUUUGGGACACCUAUGAAACAGACUAUGACAAGACCCUUAAUGAUCUUAUCUAUUUGCUAAGAUCAACUUCCUAAAACUUUAUGGACAUUGACAAUGAUGACAUUGGAUAUCCAGUAAAGCAUUCUCUUCCCAAUGGAAAGGGAUCGGCCAUAGUCAACUCGGUUGACCAAAUGGUAAAGAGAAAAGCUAAGUCUGUGAUAGUCCCGUGUACCAUUAUCAAAGGGUCCAUAUGUUUAUAUUGCCAAAGGAAGGGGCAUUGGUUGCGAAGCUGCCAAAUUUACCUAAGGAUGUUAAAGUCAAUAAGUUUGACUCUACUUCAGGUAAAGUCCACUAUCUAACUCUGUUAAGUUUCUAUUCUGAGAUUCUUGAUACAUGAUGUGACUGGGUCACAUGGUGAUGUUUUAAGAAUCAAAGAAAAGUGAAGAAACUUAAAGAAAGAAUAUGCUGAAUCUGAUGGCGUAGAUGGAUUUCUAUCGCAUAGUUUGAAGAUCGGAUUCUUGAGCUACUUCUUAGGAGUUAUGAGAUAUUGCUUAGGAAUAGAUAACAACAAGUUUUCAUAUGGAUUGUAAGGAUAAGUUUUUCCGCAAAGUUUUAAAAUAAAAGAAAAUUUUUUUGAUUUUAUUUAUUUUAAAAUAUCCUUACAAUGGCUUUUGAGGAAAAAUUGUUGCUUAUAUGAUUCCAUUAAGAGCAAGAGUGGAAAUAUGAAAUUGAUUCUUUCAUUUGUGGUAAUGUCUAGAUUUACCAAAUAAGGAAAGAUUCUCAUCACCCAAGUUUCAAUUGGACCGGAACUUGGAAUCAUGCAAGUUGUAUAGCAUGAUGAAUGAGAACUUUCAAGUUUUGGAAAAUUAAGACUAAUUACUUGUUCACAUGGAUGUGUGAGUCAAGUAAAGGACUAAGGGAUCGAGUACACAUUCUUGUGCACUGAUUAAGUCCACCACAAAAGAUUGAUAAGACUAUUCGUCAUAGUUUACUAAAGCUCAGUAAAUAUGAUUAUACUUACAAGCUUAAGUGUAACUCUGAGACAUUGGAAAAGGUUCCAAUGUAUGGCAGGGCGAAUAAGAAGAAUCAAAUUAGGCAGAAGGAUAAAAGUUUCUCAUAUCUGAAAAGAUGGGAGAGUACUUUAGUAUCAGUUUUGUGAUCAUCUUAAUGAUUAAGAAACCAUAUCAAAAUUAGUUCUCUAAGGAAAUCUUAGUGCAUUCUUAUGACUAAGAAGAGGAACUUGAAUUGUUGAAAUGGUUAAAUCAAGAAGAUGAGUCAUACUUCGUUCCAAUACAAGUCUUAGAGUCAUACUCCAAGAUUGUCAUUUGAGUGACAUGUCUUAAAGAAGGUUUAAAACACUUGUCAAAUGUAAGAGUAAAAGUUUUCUACUCUUGUACAUUUGAAAUUGGUAAGUUGUGAUGUUUUGGAUAAAACAAAGACCAACUUAGGCCAAUUGGGUAAAGUGUUUUUCUUGAUUAGAAUCCGCACUAUCUCUUGGAUGUUUGACAAGGGAGUCUUAUAUGUCAAGAGGACAGUGGGAGUCUUAAAGGUCUUGAAAGUCUCAAGAAAUAAUCAAGAAUAAAACCUGAAGUUCUUCACUAGCACACGACUUGAGGUUUAUAACCUAUCGUGUUGACAUAUCUGUGCCCAUUCCAGUUAAAGUUGGCUUUGCAUAUGAGUUCUUAGAGUUCUCAGUUUGUUGCAUAACAACUUGGAAGCAAUGGCAGGCCCUUGAGCUGCCAGGUGGCAAGAAGUUAAGAUUGAGUUCAAUCCAUAUGGUUUUGGAUUUGUCAUUAUCUUUGUCUUGUGAUUAUGGUUUGACAAAUUCAUAUGGGUAGGAACUCAUACACCAUAUAAAUCUAAGUGUCAUAAGGUUUCUCUCCGAUUCAUGAAAAUGAUGGUGAGGAAACGCUUUCACUAAGUAGAUUUUACGAAGAUAUCAAUUGUGUUAUUUGCAUUUUCAAAAGUCGUUAGUGGAGCGCGUGUGGUUAACCGGCACACUAACAUGGACUUGUGAGAAAUGGCAAAUGCCUAAGCAAUUGAGACCAUGAUUACGGUAUCCCUUUUCAUGGUUCUUGAAAUUGCUUAGACACACAGGUGAGCUAUCUACGGAAAGGGUGUAUGAAUCUAAAUUUCAGACUGUCCAGCUGAUUUCUGAGUACAUGUCAAAGCUAGUGGGAGCAUAAGUGUUAUGCUAAUAAUCAUCAUGUUAGUGGGAGCAUGAUAAUUAUGAUAAGUAUUGCAAGUUAGCAAUGUUAAUUAUAGAAAACAAAAGUUUCAAUUGGGAAAAAGUUGUUUUGCUAUAAUUAAGGGAGAGGAAAUUAUGCUUCAUCUCAAAUCUAUAAGCUUAGAUCGUGAGGUUUUAAUCAUUUAGUCAAGGAUAUAUAUGAAUUUCAUGUUGGAAUGGCUCAACAUAAGGAAAUUCUGUAUAUGGGUCCAUUAUUUGCGUUCUAAAAUUCGAUUAUGAUUACGGCAUCCCUUUUCAUAAUCUGAAUUAUGAGAACUUGGCAAAUUGAAAUGGAAAUAUUAUAGCAAAAGACUGGUUUAGUCUUUAUGUAAGACAUCAUGAAUCGUGUCCCAUAUGCUUCGGAUAUAGGAUCGAUUACAUGUGCUAUAUUCAUCCGUUCUAAAAUUUUCCAAAUGCCUGGGGCAUUAAGAAGGGAAAAGGUUUAGAACUGGAUAUGACUAAAAGGAUUAAACAAUUGUCGAGGACAAUCUAAGGUUUACCAAAGAUUGGUUACUCAAGGACAAUUGGAAGUAUAGUGAUAAUUCUGGAAGGACCAUAUUGACAUAAUCUGUAAGGAGGCAACUCUUGUUCAGAAGUGAUAGUCAAAAUGGAAUCUGGAAAUGUUUCAAAGUUAGAAUUUUCAAUCUGUGUAAGAUUAAGGAAACUUAAUGCAAGAAGGAUAUUUCCAAGGAGUUGAUCUCCUUUGGAAUACUCUGUAAUGAUUGUUGCCAAGUCUUUGUGACUUUGUGCAUAAUCAUUACAAGAGGAUCAAUGCAUAUAAGUUUAGAAUCUAACAGAUUUCAGUAAAUGGCAUGAAUUUGGAAUUCUUGCAUUUGCAGUAAGGAUUUGGGAGUGUGAAAAGAGAAUCAUUGAAGUUAUGUUCAAUUGAUCUAGUUCACAAAGUAAAGAUCAUAGACAAACAUAGUAUGCAUACUUGGUGUGUGGCAUGACUAGUGUUUAAGAAAACAUAGUGUACAUGCUUGGAGCAUGGGACAACUAUUGUUUUAAAUUCAAGAAUAAAGUUGAUAGCUGAAACAGUAUACAAUGAAUAAUGUGUAAUCAUAUGGUGAUAAAUAAAAGGUGUUUUAUUUAUGUUCAAAGGGUUGAUACCAUAUUGGAUUCAAUUAUUAUUGUGUUUCAUUUUGCAUGUUUUGACUUCCCGAAUAAACUGGGUUAUUCUUCCGGAAUGACUAAGUUAUUCAAACCAUCCACAGUCGGUCAUAUGUUGGAAGUAGAUAUGAAUUAAGACUGUCAUGGGUUGGCUUGUAGAGGUCUAAGGUGUUGGACAAAGGGCUACAACACUCAUGAGUGCUCAUAAGUUCUGAGUAUUGGAUUCAACCCGCGCUCAUUGGAAUCACUUCAUGGAUUUUAUCACGAGUGAUCAUGAGACGAUAAUAUCUUAUAUUCUUCAAACCUAGAGAUAUGAGUUGUUACUAUGAGUUGAUAGUACAUUGAUUGCACGAAAACGCAUUUGGUAACUCGGUGCUAUAAAACGUGCCUUUGUGUAUGAUUCAACAAGUAGUAGAACAAGCCAUAUGAGUCGAAGUUUAUCCAUUCCUUUUACCUUCGGGAUAAAAGCGAUAUCUGUGGGCCCCUCGAUGAUUUGAUGAUGACAAAUGGAAGUGCUCGGCCGGGCCAGGACUGAUUUGAUUUGUUCAAUUAGUCAGUCGUCAUAAAUCGGAAAUCGGGAAACAACAAAUGGACAGAGAGAAUGAUUAUAAUCCAUGUCUCAGUCCAUAUGAUAUCUAGAAUGGAGGAAUAUAUGAUCCCUUAUCUAAUGGACAAGUCAUUGACAAAGGUCAGAGUUCAUCUACAAGGUCAGAGUUCGACAGAAGCUUUUGAGAGCUACGAUUGCCAGUCAGUUCUUGAAGUCAUACGCAAUAAUAGUUUUAGACUUAUCCAAGUGGGAGACUGUUGGAUUAAUGUCUAAGUCCAUAACUAUAAUUGGUAAGACUUGACCCGACCUGGCAUGGUCCAUUUGGGUUGCAUGGCAUCAUGCAUUUGGAUAGACUAAAAUGAGAGAAAUAACACUUAAGGUUUGUUAAUAUAUUAUAAAUUCUAAUAUAUUAAUAAGGUUAUUUAAUUAGUAUUGAUCAAGAAUUAAUUUGGAAUUAAUUAAGUGAUCAAAAGGAGACUAAUUAAAUAUAUGGGUUGAUUGUGUAAAUCAUUCAUUCUUAUAUAUGUGGGCUUGUGAUCCAAGAUUCCUUAUGUUGGACUAAGUCCAUGGGGUGACCCAUGGAUGCUCCAUGGAGGUUAAAAUCCAUGGAGCAUAAGGAAUGGGUAAAGUCAUGAGUUACAUGGUGUAACCCUAAUAGCCACCAUAUAAAAGAAUCUAAUGGCUCAAGAAAUCGUGCACUAUGAGUAUGUGUGAGGGCUAAACGAUUUCAUGGAGUGUUCAAGUUUCUAUCAAGUUAUUCCAAGUGUAUUUGGUGUUGUGUGAACCAUUUGAGGUGUCACACUUGGGGCACUAGGCACUCAAGCUUCAUGAAGACUUUCUACAUAAAGAGGUUUGUAUUCUAUCUUAUUAUAUUCAUUGUUUUGUAUGCUAGAUUAGGAUAAUACCUUGGAUGUUCAUAAUUGCAUGUAUAAUAGAGAAAACAUAGAUCCAAGGUAUUUAGGCUUCCAUGUACACUUAGGAGUGUUAGAAUGCUCAAAACCCAACAGUUCGAACCUCGUGUUUCAGGAGGGGGAUUUUGUGCAUCCAAAGAUGUCACCUUGGAAAGGUGUCAUCCGAUUUCCAAAGUCGGGAAGCUGGCCGCAGAUUUAUUGGUCCCUUCAGGAUUUCUUCCUUGGUUGGAAAUGUUCCAUACCGUCUGGAUUUGCCUGAUGAGCUCAGCUGGAUCUACAAAACCUUCCACGUGUCUCAGCUUCGAAGUGUGUCGCCGAUUAGCUCGCAGUUGUUCCUUUGGAUUACAUUACGGUUGAUGAUCGUCUGAAUUAUGUGAAGAGACCGGUGACGAUGUUAGAUUGGAAGACGAUCACUCGUUUCAAACAAAGGAGUAUCUCUACACAAUGUCCAAUGGCAUCAUCGGAAGGAUUUCGAAUGGAAGUGGGAGCCUGAGGCAACGAUGCGAGAGCACUACCCUAAUUUAUUCGCAGCAACAGACUUUGAGGACGAACUCUAGUUCAAGUGGGGGAGAGUUGUAACAUCUUGAGUUCCAAGUAUUUUAAAAUUUUACACUUGAUUUGAGUUUGGUUAUAAAAUUUAGUCCCAAGGGGUAUUUUCGUACUUUUUGCGUAGGACUCACGUACGUUGGGCGUACGUGGCGAGGGUGCAAACCCUAAAUCUUAUGGUUUGGACCCUAUUUAAGCAUCAUUAUAGCCCCAUACCCCAUUUAUCUUUAGCCUCCAUCCCUAUCUCGAAACCCUAAAGUAAGUGAGUGCGUUUUGAAGCGCGAUGAGCCUUUUUAGUGCCAUUCUAGUGCUUUUAGUGGUGAAGGAGGAACCUAGAAGUUGUGGUGUUUCACUCAAGGCUUUGGAUCCUACAACUACUCUGUCUUGUGCAUCUUCUGGAGGUAUAAGGCUACAACUUGAUGAAUAGUUUAAAGUUAGCACCUUUUUGUACCAAAUCUUGAUUCUUAUGAGUAUGGAGUACUCCAAGAUGUUCGAGUUGUCUUUUCAGAUGUUAUAGGGUGUGUUAAGUCAUAAAAAUAUGAUCUUGGACAUUAGUCCUUCACAGNGGCAUGAUCUAGAUUGUCUUAAUGGGUCAAGAGACUAGGGUCUUUGGUAAUACGGUCUUAUUAGCCAUGAAAACCAAAAAGUUGGAAACUUUAUGGUUCUGAACACUUGUUAGGGUCUUGAUCUAGAUUUUGGAUGUAAGUGUUAAGGAUUUAGCGUUUAAUGGAUUGGGUGGGUGGCAGCCACGAACGUUGGGCAUAGCAACGGGUAGAUUGCACGUUCAGGGUCAGCCCUUUGACAUUUGGUCAAGCGAGUAGUAUUACCCAUUUCUAUAAUAUUAAGUUAUUCGAAAUUCUCGUUCGUACUUUUGGAAGUAAGUAGCGAUUUAAGAUUGUAACGGAGCAUUGGUAGAUUGUCCAAGGUGAUGCAUAAAGAAAAUUUUGGAACAGAUGCUCAUGAGUACUUUAAAUGGAGAUUUUAAGGUAUUGGAGUAACCCACGCUUAGAGAUUACUUCAUGGAUUAUAUUACAAGUAAUUCUAAGAUGGUAAUAUCAUAUAUACGUCAAAUGGAGAUGCUUGGGAUUCUCUCCUACCAUCUUUUUUUGUUUUGGUUUACCCCAAACAUUCUCUCCUACGCUUAGAGAUUACUUCAUGGAUUCAAUUACAAGUAGUCGAAGUUUGUUUGUUCGCGUUUCCCUCAAAAAAUAAAAAUAGAUAUCAUUGUUCCCAUCGAUGAUUUGAUUUUGACAUUAAAAUACAUGGUCGUGCUCAGACUGAAUUGAUGGAUAAAUUAUGCAGUUUUCUUUUGAUUGAUACAAAUUAGUAUCGGGAAACAAAAUCUUGAACAUUUGAGAUUGAAUGUAUCAAUGUCUCAUUUUCAUAUACAUAUCUCGAAGAACAAAGGAACAUUUGAUUACAUAUCUAAGGGAUAUAUCACAAUUAUAUGUUUUGAGUAUGGCAAAUACAUUUGACUAGAUCCUCUCUACUCAUUACUAUUAAAUAUUAGACCAUAUAGUCUUUGUGACUUACGCAAGUUGAGGUCUUAGAAAAUGGUGCCUAGAGUUACAACACAGGGACAUGUAAGUUAUUAGUACAUAAUGUUAUAAGAUGGAAGUUUGGGUAUACACAUAACCGUUAUUACCCUUUGAGGGAUGAAUCACCUGAUAAUAAAAAGAAAAUAUAAAAAGACAAGUUUACUUUUAUGUAAAACCCAUUAAAAAGUUGUUAUAAACAUGUAGUAGUUGUAAUAUAUCUUAAAAACUAUGAAUAAAAUGAAUAUAUAAAAAAAGAAAUUGAAUUAGUAAAAAAAAUCAAUUUCUUAAACAAAUUUCUAAAAAAACCAGUUUCUUAAAAAUGUAAAAACAAACUUGUAGAAACAAGUUGUGGCAUAUUUGUAAACAAAGUUACGGCCAAAGUGAUAUUGAAAAUAAAAACAUUGGCAAUCUUGUAAAGAAAAGGCAAACUCUAAACAAACAAACCUGCAAUAAUGAGUCAUUGUGACAAAGAAGAAAUAAAACAUUGGCUUUUCUUACUUCUACAAAUAAUAAAAUGUUAACAUGUAACUUUUAUAUAUUUAAAAUAUUUGGCAACCCAUUUAGUUUUGGUAUUAGCCAUUUAUUUUGUUUUGCAACCAUAUGAUUGCAAACAUCGCACACGCACAUAGAGGCUCACACGCACACAGUCAGAUUCAAUUCGGGAUGGAGGGAGCAACAAGAAAUAAUGAUAACUGGAUUAUAUAACAAACGACAAACCUUAAAAAUCCUAAAUUCAUAGCUAUCAUUUGUAGUUUAAUACUCAUGGAUUUUAGUAAUUGCUGCUCUAGAAAUGCAUUUAGAAAAUUUUAUUAAACCCAAUCACUUACUAAGAAACACGUUGUGUUAAAGAUAAAAAUAUGCGUGAAGCAUAAAUCAUUGAGAAAGAUUGCUAACCAACUGCAACUGAAUAUGCUAAUGUACAUAAAAGAGCACAUGAUGAAACGUUUACCAGCAAUAGCAAUGUGUUAAACUCUACUAUUUUGGUGUCAAGUAGCCCUUGGAGUUCCCCCAAACACUUCAGUAAGAAAUCAUUAAUAAAGCAUCCCAAUGAAGUGUUCGGAGGAUCUCUGAGGGACACUUGGCUUUUCCUACAUCUGUAUUUGCUUGAAGUUGAUUGCUUUGUUUAGAAAAUAAACGUGCCAGAAUUACUUGGUAUAUAUAGAGGGAGAGGGAGUAGAGGUUAUUUUCUGAUCGAUGAACAUGGAUACAUCAGCAGCAUGAACAUGGUUGCCAUCGUGUCUCUAUUAGGAGAUAUAUUUUCCCAUAAUCCCAAUUUUCACAUAAAGGGAAAUAUAUGAGAGUGACGAGUUAUGCUGGGGACCAGGUGAACAUGGGUAUCAUAUUCUCAUUUGAUCAUCUAUCCCAUAUACAUGACCACAUUCAAUCUCUGACCUACAAUAUAUAACAUAUUAGCAUAAGAUUUGAUAAUGGGAAAGAGAUGUAUAUUGAUUAUUCAUUCAAAACUAGAAUUGAAUCGAAUAUACCAUGACUGCAAUAUCAUGUAAAGAAAUGAUGCAUGCUGAUUUAUAUAUAAGGUUACAGACACGGCAAGAAGCAGGACAUGCAAAAUACUGCUCUAAUUGAACUUUUUGUGAAAGAUUUCCUAUUGCAGGCCCACUAGUCUGAUUCUCUUCUUACUCUCAUAAGCUCCCUCGAUUAUAACCCCACUAUCAUUUUUAAGUUUCAACCAUUACCCUCCAAUUAUGUUCAAAUGUGUAUAAACUAUAAAAGGCGUUGAAAGAUUCUCACAUCCACAUAUUCACCCUACACCUAUCACCAUAUAUUUGGAAGACUGCAUCUGAUUGUGCACCUGCUUGUAAUUUUCUUUUCUUCUGAUUUUCAUUCGUGUGUAUUUUGCACCCUGUAAUUUACCAGCUAGCUUCCAAUCUUUUUUUGUUUAUAAAUCUGCGGUUCUAGAAAAAAGUUGUAGAGAGAAUGAAGAGCAACUUACCAAGUAAAUAAAGAUCCAGUUGAAAAAAAUUGAUUUAUCAAUCCCCCUCUAUUCUUUCCAAUUGAUAACUAUAGUUACUGUUGGUGAUAAUGAAGAGCAUUGACGAUGGAGUAGACUUUGAAAUAUAAGGGAAAGGAUGCAGCAUCCAUUUGAUCAAGGAGAGGUUUUUGGACUGCGUUGGAGGAUCGAUUUCUGUUUACAUAAGUUGAAUAAAAAUAAACUAGUCAACGAUUUAUUUUUGGUUUAAAACACAAACAGGUAAUAAGCCGAUUUAAAUGUAAAAAAUUUACAAAAAAUAACGACUAUAAAGAACAAUUAGAAAAAGAAUUAAAAAAACAGUUUCUUAAAUUUUUUUAUUUAAAAUCAUUUUUUUAAAAUAAUGUAAAACUAUAUUGCAAAAAUAUGUUGCAAAUUUGUAAAAACAAAUCGGAAGCUAACUCAUAAAAAAAAAAUUUUAAUCCGGUGCCGAACUUGCUAUAGCCCAUCACUCAGUAAGCAANGGGGUAUUUCUGAUGGUUUAUGUGAGAACGAGAUCAUGAAGUCAAGGUGGAUAGAUGAUGAGGGUUGGUUUAGGGUACGCCAAAAUAUAGUGAAUUUGAAGCCAACAUCGGGAAGGGUCAUUGAAACGUAGUCAUCAGCAAGUAAGUUCUCAUGUUCUUGUUCAAUGUACGCUAGAAUAAAAAAAAUUCCAAGAGAAAUUGAGAUGAUAAGAACAUCAUCCUCGUCAUUACAGCUAGAUAGAUCAAUUGAUAGGGAGGUAAAAGGUAGGAGAUGGCGAUUUCCAUCUACUAACACAUCAUUGAUUGCAUUUUAAGCUAACUUUAUUCAAUUGGUGCAUGGAGGAAUCUAAUGUUUAAUUUUAAGGUAUGAGUUAUUCCUAUUUGUAUUGAACAUAGGUUUGAAGCUUGUAGUGGAAAUCAAAAUCCUUUUAGUGUUCAUUUGAGGGACAGGGUUUUGUUUUUAACCAUUUCCCGAUAAUUGAUGUGGUUACAAGCUCUGAUCUAUCACCCACUUGAUAAAUUUGGUGUGUUUGGGUGAAAAACAUAAUUAUGAACCCUAUGUUUCCAAUUGGGUGUACGUGUGUUGNUUCCAAUUGGGUGUUACGUGUGUUGGAUUGCCACCCCAGACGGCGAGAGAAAGCGAACGAUUCAGACGGUCAAAGAUAUGCUUCGGUCUUAUGUAUUAUAUGUUGGAGGGAGUUGGAAUACUUACCUUCCACUGGCCGAGUUCUCCCACAAAAGCAAUUAUCAUGCCAAUAUUCACAGGCCAUCAUUUAAGAUGUUAUAUGGAAGGAGGUGCAACACCUGGUUUGCUCGGGGGAGGUCAGGCAUCGGGUCAUGGGUGUAAUGAGGUGGUACUCAAGACCAUUGAAUUGAUUCAGUAGGUACACGACAGGCUGCGAGUCACGUAAAGCCGAUAGGAGAGUUACGCAGAUCGGGGACGUUUGGACCUCGUGUUUCAGGAGGGGGAUUUUGUGCAUCUAAAGAUGUCACCUUGGAAAUGUGUCAUCCGAUUUCCAAAGUCAAGAAGCUGGCCGCAGAUUUAUUGGUCCCUUCAGGAUUUCUUCCUUGGUUGGAAAUGUUGCAAACCGUCUGUAUUUGCCUGAUGAGCUCAGCCAGAUCUACAAAAUCUUCCAUGUGUCUCAGCUUCGAAGUGUGUCGCCGAUUAGCUCGCAGAUGUUCCUUUGGAUUACAUUCAGGUUGAUGAUCGUAUGAAUUAUGUGAAGAGACCGGUGAUGAUGUUGGAUUGGAAGACGAUCACUCUUUUGCAACAAAGGAAUAUCUCUACACAAGGUCCAAUGGUAUCAUCGGAAGGAUUUCGAAUGGAAGUGGGAGCCUGAGGCAACGAUGCGAGAGCACUACCCUAAUUUAGUCGCAGCAACAGAUUUUGAGGACGAAUUCUAGUUCAAGUUGGGGAGAGUUGUAACAUCUUGACUUCCAAGUAUUUUAAAAUUUUACACUUGAUUUGAGUUUGGUUUUAAAAUUUAGUCCCAAGGGAUAUUUUUGUAAUUUUUGCGUAGGACUCACGUACGUUGGGUGUAUGUGGCGAGGGUGCAAAGCCUUAAUCUUAUGGUUUGCACCCAAUUUAAGCAUCAUUAUAGCCCCAUACCUCAUUUAUUUUCAGCCUCCAUCCCUAUCUCGAAACCCUAAAGUAAGUGAGUGCGUUUUGAAGCGUGAUGAGCCUUUUUAGUGCCAUUCUAGUGCUUUUAGUGGUGAAGGAGGAACCUAGAAGUUGUGGUGUUUCACUCAAGGCUUUGGAUCCUACGACUACUCUGUCUUGUGCAUCUUCUGGAGGUAUAAAGCUACAACUUGAUGAAUAUUUCAUUAAGAUGUAGUUUAGUUUAAAGUUAGCACCUUAUUGUAUCAAAUCUUGAUUCUUAUGAGUAUUGAGUACUCCAAGAUGUUUGAGUUGUCUUUUCAGAUGUUAUAGGGUGUGUUAAGUCAUAAAAAUAUGAUCUUGGACAGUAGUUCCUUCACAUGCAUGAUCUAGAUUGUCUUAAUGGGUCAAGAGACGAGGGUCUUUGGUAAUACGGUCUUAUUAGCCAUGAAAAACCAAAAAGUUGGAAACUUUAUGGUUCUGAACACUUGUUAGGGUCUUGAUCUAGAUUUUGGACGUAAGUCUUAAGGAUUUAGCAUUUAAUGGAUUGGGUGGGUGGCAGCCACAAACCUUGGGCAUAGCAACGGUUAGACUGCACGUUCAGGGUCAGCCCUUUGACAUUUGGUCAAGCGAGUAGUAUUACCCAUUUCUAGAAUACUAAAUUAUUCCAAAUUCUCGUUCGUACUUUGGGAAGUAAGUAGCGAUUUAAGAUUGUAACGGAGCAUUGGUUGAUUGUCCAUGGUGAUGCAUAAAGAAAAUUUUGGAACAGAUGCUCAUGAGUACUUUAAAUGGAGAUUUUAAGGUAUUGGAGUAACCCACACUUAGAGAUUACUUCAUAGAUUCUAUUACAAGUAAUUCUAAGAUGGUAAUAUCAUAUAUACGUCAAAUGGAGAUGCUUGGGAUUCUCUCCUACAAUCUUUUUUGUUUUGGUUCCCCCCAAACAUUGUUUGUAAAUGGCAAUCAUAAAGGGUUUGACUAGAUAUGACAUGAGCAAUCGGCAGAAUCUUUGUAGUCGAAGUUUGUUUGUUCGCUUUUCCCUCAAAAAAUAAAAAUAGAUAUCAUUGUUCCCCUCGAUGAUUUGGUGUUGACAUUAAAAUAUAUGGGCGUGCUCAGACGGAAUCGAUGGAUCAAUUAUGCAGUUUUGUUUUGAUUGAUAGAAGUUAGUAUCGGGAAACAAAAUCUUGAACAUUUGAGAUUGAAUAUAUCAAUGUCUCAUUUUCAUAUACAUAUCUCGAAGAAUAAAGGAACAUUUGAUUACUUAUCUAAGGGAUAUAUCACAAUCAUGUGUUUUGAGUAUGGAAAAUACAUUUGAUUAGAUCGUCUCUACCCAUUACUAUUAAAUAUUAGACCAUAUAGUCUUGGAGACUUGUGCAAGUUGAGGUCUUAGAAAAUGGUGCCUAGAGUUACAACACAGUGACAACAGUUAGUACAAGCGGAUUGAUAUGUAAGUUAUUAGUACAUAAUGUUAUAAGAUGCAAGUUUGGGUAUACACAUAACCGUUAUUACCCAUUGAGGGAUGACUCAUCUGAUAAUAAAAAGAAAAUAUAAAAAGACAAGUUUAGUUUUAUGUAAAACCCAUUAACAAGUUGUUAUAAACAUGUAGUAGUUGUAAUAUAUCUUAAAAACUGUGCAUUUAGUUUUAUAUAUUUAAAAUAUUUGGUAACACAUUUAGUUUUGGUAUUAGCAAUUUAUCUGGUUUUGCAACCAUAUGAUUGCAAACAUCGCACAUGCACAUAGAGGCUCACACGCACACAGUCAGAUUCAAUUCGGGAUGGAGGGAACAACAAGAAAUAAUGAUAACUGGAUUCUAUAACAAACGACAAACCUUCAAAAUCCUUAAUUCAUAGCUAUCAUUUGUAGUUUAAUACUCAUGGAUUUUAGUAAUUGCUGCUCUAGAAAUGCAUUUAGAAAAUUUCAUUAAACCCAAUCACUUACUAAGAAACACGUUGUGUUAAAGCUAAUAAUAUGCGUGAAGCAUAAAUCAUUGAGAAAGAUUGCUAACCAACUGCAACUGCAUAUGCUAAUGUACAUAAAAGAUCACAUGAUGAAACGUUUACCAGCAAUAGCAAUGCGUGAGACUCUACUAUUUUGGUGUCACGUAGCCCUUGGAGUUCCCCCAAACACUUCAGUAGAAAAUCAUUAAUAAAGCAUCCCAAUGUAGUGUUCGGAGGAUCUCUGAGGAAAACUUGGCUUUUCCUUCAUUUGUAUUUGCUUGAAGUUGAUUGCUUUGUUUUGAAAAUAAACAUGCCAGAAUUACUUGGUAUAUAUAUAGAGAAAGGGAGUAGAGGUGAUUUUCUGAUCGAUGAACAUGGAUACAUCAGCAGCAUGAACAUGGUUGCCAUCGUGUCUCUAUUAGGAGAUAUAUUUUCCCAUAAUCCCAAUUUUCACAUAAAGGGAAAUAUAUGAGAGUGACGAGUUAUGCUGAGGACCAGGUGAACAUGGGUAUCAUAUUCUCAUUUGAUCAUCUAUCCCAUAUACAUGACCACAUUCAAUCUCUGACCUACAAUAUAUAACAUAUUAGCAUAAGAUUUGAUAAUGGGAAAGAGAUGUAUAUUGAUUAUUCAUUCAAAACUAGAAUUGAAUCGAAUAUACCAUGACUGCAAUAUCAUGUAAAGAAAUGAUGCAUGCUGAUUUAUAUAUAAGGUUACAGACACGGCAAGAGGCAGGACAUGCAAAAUUCUGCUCUAAUUGAACUUUUUGUGAAAGAUUUCCUAUUGCAGGUCCACUAGUCUGAUUCUCUUCUUACUUUCAUAAGCUCCCUCGAUUGUAACCCCACUAUCAUUUUCAAGUUUCAACCAUUACCCUCCAAUUAUGUUCAAAUGUGUAUAAACUCUAAAAGGUGUUGAAAGAUUCUCACAUCCACAUAUUCACCCUACACCUAUCACCAUUUAUUUGGAGACUGCAUCUUAUUGUGCACCUGGUUGUAAUUUUCUUUUCUUCUGAUUUUCAUGCGUAUGUAUUCUGCAUCCUGUAAUUUACCAGCUAGCUUCCAAUCUUUUUGUUUUUAUAAAUCUGCGGUUCUAGAAAAAAGUUGUAGGGAGAAUGAAGAGCAACUUACCAAGUAAAUAAAGAUCUUGUAGAAAAAAAUUGAUUUAUCAAUCCCCCUCUAUUCUUUCCAAUUGAUAACUAUAGUUACUGUUGGUGAUAAUGAAGAGCAUUGACGAUGGAGUAGACUUUGAAUGAUAUGGGAAAGGAAGCAGCAACCAUUUGAUCAAGCUGAGGUUUUUCGAUUGCGUUGGAGGAACGAUUUCUUUUUACGUAAGUUGAAUAAAAAUAAACUAGUUAACGGUUUAUUUUAGGUUUAAAACACAAACAGGUAAUAAGCCGAUUUAAAUGAAAGAAAAUUCACAAAAAAUAACGACUAUAAAGAACAAUUAGAAAAAGAAUUAAAAAACAGUUUCUUAAAUUUUUUUAUUUAAAAUAAUUUUUUUUAAAUAAUGUAAAACUAUAUUGCAAAAAUAUGGUGCAAAUUUGUAAAAACAAAUCCGAAGCUAAUUCAUAAUUUUUUUAAAUCCGGUGCCGAACUUGCUAUAGCCCAUCACACAGUAAGCAAUUUCGAUUAAAAUCAUCGUCGGGGUAGGUGGGGGGGUAUUUCUGAUGGUUUCUGUGAGGACGAGCUCAUGAAGUCAAGGUGGAUAGAUGAUGAGGGUUGGUUUAGGGUACGCCAAAAUACAGUGAAUUUGAAGCCAAUAUCGGGAAGGGUCAUUGAAACGUAAUCAUCAGCAAGUAAGUUCUCAUGUUCUUGUUGACCGUAUGCUAGAAUAAAAUAAAUUCCAGGAGAAAUUGAGAUGAUAAGAACAUCAUCCUCGUCAUUACAGCCAGAUAGAUUGAUUGAGAGGGAGGUAAAAGGUAGGAGAUGGCGAUUUCCAUUAACUAACACCUCAUAGAUUGAAUUUUAAGAGAACUUUAUUCAAUUGGUGCGUGGAGGAAUCUAAUGUUUAAUUUUAAGGUAUGAGUUAUUCCCAUUUGUAUUGAACAUAGGUUUGAAGCGUGUAGUGGAAAUAAAAAUCCGUUUCGUGUUCAUUUGAGGGACAGGGUUUUCUUUUUAACCAUUUGUAGAUAAUUGAUGUGGUUGCAAGAUCCGAUCUAUCAUCCAGUUGAUAGAUUUUGUGUGUUUGGGUGAAAAACAUAAUUAUGACCUAUGUUUCCAAUUGGGGGUUACGUGUGUUGGAUUGCCACCCCAGACGGCGAGAGCAAGCGAACGAUUCAGAUGCUCAAAGAUUCGCUUUGGUCUUAUGUAUUAGAUUUUAGAGGGAGUUGGAAUACUUACCUUCCACUGGCUGAGUUCUCCUACAAAAGCAGUUAUCAUGCCAGUAUUCACCGGCCAUCGUUUAAGAUGUUAUAUGGAAGGAGGUGCAAUACCCGGUUUGCAUGGGGGAGGUCGGGCAUCGGGUCAUGGGUGUAAUGAGGUGGUACUCAAGACCAUUGAAUUGAUUCAGUAGGUGCACAACAUGUUCCGAGUCCCCUAAAGCCGAUAGGAGAGUUACAUAGAUCAGGGACGUUCAAACCUCGUGUUUUGGGAGGGGGAUUUGGUGCAUUUAAAGAUGUCACGUUGGAAAGGUGUCAUCCGAUUUCAAAAGUCGGGAAGUUGGCAGCAAGUUUAUUGGUCCCUUCAGGAUUUCUUCCCUGGUGGGAAAUGUUGAACACCGUCUGGAUUUUCCUGAUGAGCUCAACCGGAUCUACAAACCCUUCCAUGUGUCUCAGCUUCGGAAGUGUGUCGCCGAUUAGCUCGAAGUUGUUCCUUUGGAUUACAUUCAGGUUGAUGAUCGUCUAAAUUAUGUGAAGAGAUCGGUGACGAUCUUGGAUUGGAAGACGAACACUCUUUGCAAGAAAGGAGUAUCACUACACAUGGUCCAGUGGCAUCAUCGGAAGGAUUUCAAAUGGAAGUGGGAGCCUGAGGCAUCGAUGCGAGAGCAAUACCCUAAUUUAUUUGCAACAACAGACCUUGAGGACGAUGUCUAGUUCAAGUGGGGGAGAGUUGUAACAUCUUGAUUUCCAUGUAUUUUAAAAUUUUACACUUGAUUUGAGUUUGGUUUUAAAAUUUAGUCCCAAGCGGUAUUUUCGUAAUUUUUGCAUAGGACUCUCGUACGUUGGGCGUACGUGGCGAGGGUGCAAACUCUAAAUUUUAUGGGUUGGACCCUAUUUAAGCAUCAUUAUAGACCAGACCCUCAUUAGUCUUCAACCUCCAUCCCUAUCUCGAAACCCUAAAGUAAGUGAGUGAGUUUUGAAGCGUGAUGAGCCUUUUUAGUGCUAUUCUAGUGCUCUUAGUGGUGAAAAGAAACCUAGAAGUUGUGGUGUUUCACUCAAGGCUUUGGAUCCUACAACUACUGUGUCUUGUUCAUCUUCUGGUGGUAUAAAGCUACGACUUGAUGACUAACCUAUCUCAAAACCCUAAAGUAAGUGAGUGAGUUUUGAAGCGUGAUGAACCUUUUUAGUGCCAUUCUAGUGCUCUUAAUGGUGAAGGAGGAACCUAGAAGUUGUGGUGUUUCACUCAAGGCUUUGGAUCCUACAACUACUCUGUCUUGUUCAUCUUCUGGAGGUAUAAAGCUACGACUUGAUGACUAUUUCAUUAAGAUGUAGUUUACUUUAAAGUUAGCACCUUUUCGUACCAAAUAUUGAUUCUUAUGAGUAUGGAGUACUCCAAGAUGUUGGAGUUGUCAUUUCAGAUGUUAUAGGGUGUGUUAAGUCAUAAAAAUAUGAUCUUGGACAUUAGUUGAUUUAGUUCCUUCACAUGCAUGAUCUAGAUUGUCUUAAUGGGUCAAGAGACUAGGGUCUUUUUAGCCAUGAGAAACGAAACUUUAUGGUUCUGAACACUUGUUAGGGUCUAGAUCUAGAUUUUGGACGUAAGGGCUUAAGGAUUUAGUACUUAAUGGAUUGGGUAGGUGGCAGCCAUGAACGUUGGGCACAACAAUGGGUAGACUGCACGAUCAGGGUCAGCCCUUCGACAUUUGGUCAAGCAAGUAGUAUUACCCAUUUCUAGUAUUUUAAGUUAUUCAAAAUUCUCGGUCGUACUUUUGGAACUAAGUAGUGAUUUAAGAUUAUAACGGAGCAUUGGUAGAUUGUCCAUGGUGAUGCAUAAAGAAAAUUUUGGAAAAGAUGCUCAUGAGUACUUUAAAUGGAGAUUUUAAGGCAUUGGAGUAACCCACACUUAGAGAUUACUUCAUGGAUUCUAUUACAAGUAAUUCUAAGAUGGUAAUAUCGUAUAUACGUCAAACGGAGAUGCUUGGGAUUCUCUCCUACAAUCUUUUUUGUUUUGUUUUCCCCCAAACAUUGUUCGUAAAUUGAAAUUAUAAAGGGUUUGACUAGAUAUGACAUGCGCAAUAGGCAGAAUCUUUUAAGUCGAAGUUUGUUUGUUCGCUUCUCCCUCAAAAAAGAAAAAUAGAUAUCAUUGUUCCCAUCGAUGAUUUGAUUUUGACAUUAAAAUACAUGGUCGUGCUCAGACUGAAUUGAUGGAUAAAUUAUGCAGUUUUCUUUUGAUUGAUACAAAUUAGUAUCCGGAAACAAAAUCUUGAACAUUUGAGAUUGAAUGUAUCAAUGUCUCAUUUUCAUAUACAUAUCUCGAAGAACAAAGGAACAUUUAUUUACAUAUCUAAGGGAUAUAUCACAAUUCUAUGUUUUGAGUAUGGCAAAUACAUUUGACUAGAUCCUCUCUACUCAUUACAAUUAAAUAUUAGACCAUAUAGUCUUUGUGACUUGUGCAAGUUGAGGUCUUAGAAAAUGGUGCCUAGAGUUACAACACAGGGACAUGUAAAUUAUUAGUACAUAAUGUUAUAAGAUGCAAGUUUGGGUAUACACAUAACCGUUAUUACCCUUUGAGGGAUGAAUCACCUGAUAAUAAAAAGAAAAUAUAAAAAGACAAGUUUACUUUUAUGUAAAACCCAUUAAAAAGUUGUUAUAAACAUGUAGUAGUUGUAAUAUAUCUUAAAAACUAUGAAUAAAAUGAAUAUAUAAAAAAAGAAAUUGAAUUAGUAAAAAAAAAUCAAUUUCUUAAACAAAUUUCUUAGAAAACCAGUUUCUUAAAAAUGUAAAAACAAACUUGUAGAAACAAGUUGUGGCAUAUUUGUAAACAAAGUUACGGCCAAAGUAAUAUUGAAAAUAAAAACAUUGGCAAUCUUGUAAAGAAAAGGUAUCCUCUAAACAAACAAACCUGCAAUAAUGAGUCAUUGUGACAAAGAAGAAAUAAAACAUUGGCUUUUCUUACUUCUACAAAUAAUAAAAUGUUAACAUGUAACUUUUAUAUAUUUAAAAUAUUUGGCAACCCAUUUAGUUUUGGUAAUAGCCAUUUAUUUUGUUUUGCAACCAUAUGAUUGCAAACAUCGCACACGCACAUAGAGGCUCACACGCACACAGUCAGAUUCAAUUCGGGAUGGAGGGAACAACAAGAAAUAAUGAUAACUGGAUUCUAUAACAAACGACAAACCUUCAAAAUCCUUAAUUCAUAGCUAUCAUUUGUAGUUUAAUACUCAUGGAUUUUAGUAAUUGCUGCUCUAGAAAUGCAUUUAGAAAAUUUCAUUAAACCCAAUCACUUACUAAGAAACACGUUGUGUUAAAGCUAAUAAUAUGCGUGAAGCAUAAAUCAUUGAGAAAGAUUGCUAACCAACUGCAACUGAAUAUGCUAAUGUACAUAAAAGAUCACAUGAUGAAACGUUUACCAGCAAUAGCAAUGUGUUAGAUCUACUAUUUUGGUGUCAAGUAGCCCUUGGAGUUCCCCCAAACACUUCAGUAGGAAAUCAUUAAUAAAGCAUCCCAAUGAAGUGUUCGGAGGAUCUCUGAGGGACACUUGGCUUUUCCUACAUCUGUAUUUGCUUGAAGUUGAUUGCUUUGUUUAGAAAAUAAACGUGCCAGAAUUACUUGGUAUAUAUAGAGGGAGAGGGAGUAGAGGUUAUUUUCUGAUCGAUGAACAUGGAUACAUCAGCAGCAUGAACAUGGUUGCCAUCGUGUCUCUAUUAGGAGAUAUAUUUUCCCAUAAUCCCAAUUUUCACAUAAAGGGAAAUAUAUGAGAGUGACGAGUUAUGCUGAGGACCAGGUGAACAUGGGUAUCAUAUUCUCAUUUGAUCAUCUAUCCCAUAUACAUGACCACAUUCAAUCUCUGACCUACAAUAUAUAACAUAUUAGCAUAAGAUUUGAUAAUGGGAAAGAGAUGUAUAUUGAUUAUUCAUUCAAAACUAGAAUUGAAUCGAAUAUACCAUGACUGCAAUAUCAUGUAAAGAAAUGAUGCAUGCUGAUUUACAUAUAAGGUUACAGACACGGCAAGAGGCAGGACAUGCAAAAUUCUGCUCUAAUUGAACUUUUUGUGAAAGAUUUCCUAUUGCAUGUCCAGUUGUUUGAUUCUCUUCUUACUCUCAUAAGCUCCCUCGAUUGGAACCCCACUAUCAUUUUCAUGUUUCAACCAUUACCCUCCAAUUAUGUUCAAAUGUAUAUAGACUAUAAAAGGCGUUGAAAGAUUCUCACAUCCACAUAUUCACCCUACACCUAUCACCAUAUAUUUGGAAGACUGCAUCUGAUUGUGCACCUGCUUGUAAUUUUCUUUUCUUCUGAUUUUUAUUCGUGUGUAUUCUGCACCCUGUAAUUUACCAGCUAGCUUCCAAUCUUUUUGUGUUUAUAAAUCUGCGGUUCUAGAAAAAAGUUGUAGAGAGAAUGAAGAGCAACUUACCAAGUAAAUAAAGAUCCAGUUGAAAAAAAUUGAUUUAUCAAUCCCCCUCUAUUCUUUCCAAUUGAUAACUAUAGUUACUGUUGGUGAUAAUGAAGAGCAUUGAUGAUGGAGUAGACUUUGAAUGAUAUGGGAAAGGAUGCAGCAACCAUUUGAUCAAGGAGAGGUUUUCGGAUUGCGUUGGAGGAACGAUUUCUGUUUACAUAAGUUGAAUAAAACUAAACUAGUUAACGAUUUAUUUUAGGUUUAAAACACAAACAGGUAAUAAGCCGAUUUAAAUGAAAGAAAAUUUACAAAAAAUAACGACUAUAAAGAACAAUUAGAAAAAGAAUUAAAAAAACUGUUUCUUAAAUUUUUUUUAUUUAAAACCAUUUUUUUAAAUAAUGUAAAACUAUAUUGCAUAAAUAUGGUGCAAAUUUGUAAAAACAAAUCCGAAGCUAAUUCAUAAUUUUUUUUUAAAUCCGGUGCCGAACUCGCUAUAGCCCAUCACACAGUAAGCAAUUUUGAUUAAAAUCAUCGUCAGGGUAGGUGGGGGGGGGGUACUUCUGAUGGUUUAUGUGAGGACGAGCUCAUGAAGUCAAGGUGGAUAGAUGAUGAGGGUUGGUUUAGGGUACGACAAAAUACAAUGAAUUUGAAGCCAACAUCGGGAAGGGUCAUUGGAACGUAAUCAUCAACAAGUAAGUUCUCAUGUUGUCAUUCAGCGUACGCUAGAAUAAAAUAAAUUCCAGGAGAAAUUGAGAUGAUAAGAACAUCAUCCUCGUCAAUAUAGCCAUAUAGAUCGAUUGAGAGGGAGGUAAAAGGUAGGAGAUGGCGAUUUCCAUCUACUAACACCUCAUAGAUUGAUGUUUAAGCGAACUUUAUUCAAAUAGUGCGUGGAGGAAUCUAAUGUUUAAUUUUAAGGUAUGAGUUUUUCUGAUUUGUAUUGAACUUAGGUUUGAAGCGUGUAGUGGAAAUAAAAAUCCGUUUCGUGUUCAUUUUAGGGACAAGGUUUUCUUUUUAACCAUUUGUAGAUAAUUUAUGUUGUUGCAAACUCCGAUCUAUCACCCACUCGAUAGAUUUGGUGUGUUUGGAUGAAAAACAUAAUUAUGACCUAUGUUUCCAAUUGGGGGUUACAUGUGUUGGAUUGCCACCCCAGACGGCGAGAGCAAGCGAACGAUUUAGAUUCUCAAAGAUACACUUCCAACUUAUGUAUUAGAUUUUGGGGAGUUGGAAUACUUACCUUCCACUGGCUGAAUUCUCCUACAAAAGCAGUUAUCAUGCCAGUAUUCACCGGCCAUCGUUUAAGAUGUUAUAUGGAAGGAGGUUCAAUACCCGGUUUGAAUGGGGGAGGUCGGGCAUCGGGUCAUGGGUGUACUGAGGUGGUACUCAAGACCAUUGAAAUGAUUCAGUAGGUGCACAACAUGUUGCGAGUCCCCUAAAGCCGAUAGGAGAGUUACGCAAAUCGGGGACGUUCGGACCUCGUGUUUCAGGAGGGGGAUUUGUUGCUUUUAAAGAUGUCACCUUGGAAAGCUGUCAUCCGAUUUCAAAAGUUGGGAAGCUGGUAGUAGAUUUAUUGGUCCUUUCAGGAUUUCUUCCCUGGUGGGAAAUGUUGCGUACCGUUUGGAUUUUCCUGAUGAGCUCAGCCGGAUCUACAAAACCUUCCAUGUGUCUCAGCUUCGGAUGUGUGUCGCCGAUUAGCUCGAAGUUGUUCCUUUGGAUUACAUUCAGGUUGAUGAUCGUCUGAAUUAUGUGAAGAGAUCGGUGACGAUCUUGGAUUAGAAGUCGAGCACUCUUUGCAACAAAGGAGUAUCACUACACAAGGUCCAGUGGCAUCAUCCGAAGGAUUUCGAAUGGAAGUGGGAGCCUGAGGCGGCGAUGCGAGAGCACUACCCUAAUUUAUUUUCAACAACAUACUUUGAGGACGAAGUCUAGUUCAAGUGGGGGAGGGUUGUAACAUCUUGACUUCCAAGUAUUUUAAAAUUUUACACUUGAUUUGAGUUUGGCAUUAAAAUUUAUUCCCAAGCGGUAUUUUUGUAAUUUUUGCAUUGGACUCUCUUACGUUGGGCGUACGUGGAGAGGGUGCAAAUGCUAAAUUUUAUGGUUUGGACCCUAUUUAAGCAUCAUUAUAGCCCCAUACCCUCAUUUAUCUUCAGCCUCCAUCCCUAUCUCGAAAAUCUAAAGUAAGUGAGUGAGUUUUGUAGCGUGAUGAGCCUUUUUAGUGCCAUUCUAAUGCUCUUAGUGGUGAAGGAGGAACCUAGAAGUUGUGGUGUUUCACUCAAGGCUUUGGAUCCUACGACUACUAUGUCUUGUUCAUCUUGUGGAGAUAUAAAGCUACCACUUGAUGAAUAUUUCAUUAAGAUGUAGUUUAGUUUAAAGUAAGCAACUUUUUGUACCAAAUCUUGAUUAUUAUGAGUAUGGAGUACUCCAAGAUGUUUGAGUUGACAUUUCAGAUGUUAUAGGGUGUGUUAAGUCACAAAAAUAUGAUCUUGGACAUUAGUUCCUUCAUAUGCAUGAUCUAGAUUGUCUUAAUGGGUCAAGAGACUAGGGUCUUUUUAGCCAUGAGAAACCAUAAAGUUGGAAACUUUAUGGUUCUGAACACUUGUUAGGGUCUUGAUCUAGUUUUUGGACGUAAGUCUUAAGGAUUUAGUAUUUAAUGGAUUGGGUGGGUGGCAGCCACGAAAGUUGGGAAUAGCAACGGGUAGACUGCACGUUCGGGGUCAGCCCUUUGACAUUUGGUCAAGCAAGUAGUAUUACCCAUUUCUAGUAUUUUAAGUUAUUAAAAAUUCUCGUUCGUACUUUUGGAAGUAACUAGUGAUUUAAGAUUGUAAUGGAGCAUUGGUAGAUUGUCCAUGGCUAUGCAUAAAGAACAUUUUGGAACAGAUGCUCAUGAGUACUUUAAAUUAAGAUUUUAAGGUAAUGGAGUAACCCACACUUAGAGAUUACUUCAUUGAUUCUAUUACAAGUAAUUCUAAGAUGGUAAUAUCAUAUAUACGUCAAAUGGAGAUGCUUGGGAUUCUCUCCUACACUUUUUUUUUUGGUUUCCCCCAAACAUUGUUCGUAAAUGGCAAUCAUAAAGGGUUUGACUAGAUAUGACAUAAGCAAUAGGCAGAAUCUUUGUAGUCAAAGUUUGUUUGUUCGCUUUUCCCUCAAAAAAAUAAAAAUAGAUAUCAUUGUUCCCCUCGAUGAUUUGUUGUUGACAUUAAAAUAAAUGGUCGUGCUCAGACUGAAUCGAUGGAUCAAUUAUGUAGUUUUCUUUUGAUUGAUAGAAGUUAGUAUCGGGAAACAAAAUCUUGAACAUUUGAGAUUGAAUAUAUCAAUGUCUCAUUUUCAUAUACAUAUCUCGAAGAAUAAAGGAACAUUUGAUUACUUAUCUAAGGGAUAUAUCACAAUCAUGUGUUUUGAGUAUGGAAGAUACAUUUGACUAGAUCCUCUCUACUCAUUACUAUUAAAUAUUAGACAAUAUAGUCUUGGUGACUUGUGCAAGUUGAGGUCUUAGAAAAUGGUGCCUAGAGUUACAACACAGUGACAACAAUUAGUACAAGCGGAUUGAUAUGUAACUUAUUAGUACAUAAUGUUAUAAGAUGCGAGUUUGGGUAUACACAUAACCGUUAUUACCCUUUGAGGGAUGACUCAGCUGGUAAUAAAAAGAAAAUAAAAAAAGACAAGUUUAGUUUUAUGUAAAACCCAUUAAAAAGUUGUUAUAAACAUGUAGUAGUUGUAAUAUAUCUUAAAAACUAUGCAUAAAAUGAAUAUAUAAAAAAAGAAAUUGAAUUAGUAAAAAAAAUCAAUUUCUUAAACAAAUUUCUAAAAAAACUAGUUUCUUAAAAAUGUAAAAACAAACUUGUCUAAACAAGUUGUGGCAAAUUUGUAAACAAAGUUACGGCCAAAGUAAUAUUGAAAAUAAAAACAUUGGCAAUCUUGUAAACAAAAGGCAACCUCUAAACAUAGAAACCUGCAAUAACAAGUCAUUGUGAUAAAGAAGAAAUAAAACAUUGGCUUUUCUUACUUCUACAAAUAAUAAAAUGUUAACAUGUAACUUUUAUAUAUUUAAAAUAUUUGGUAACGCAUUUAGUUUUGGUAUUAGCAAUUUAUUUGGUUUUGCAACCAUAUGAUUGCAAACAUCGCACAUGCACAUAGACGCUCACACGCACACAUUGGGGAUGGAGGGAACAACUAGAAAUAAUGAUAACUGGAUUCUAGAACAAACGAUGAACCUUGAAACAUGUUGUGUUAAAGCUAAUAAUAUGCGUGAAGCAUAAAUCAUUGAGAAAUAUUGCUAACCAACUGCAACUGCAUAUGCUAAUGUACAUAAAAGAUCACAUGAUGAAACGUUUACCAGCAAUAGCAAUGUGUGAGACUCUACUAUUUUGGUGUCAAGUAGCCCUUGGAGUUCCCCCAAACACUUCAGUAGGAAAUCAUUAAUAAAGCAUCCCAAUGAAGUGUUCGGAGGAUCUCUGAGGGACACUUGGCUUUUCCUACAUCUGUAUUUGCUUGAAGUUGAUUGCUUUGUUUAGAAAAUAAACGUGCCAGAAUUACUUGGUAUAUAUAGAGGGAGAGGGAGUAGAGGUUAUUUUCUGAUCGAUGAACAUGGAUACAUCAGCAGCAUGAACAUGGUUGCCAUCGUGUCUCUAUUAGGAGAUAUAUUUUCCCAUAAUCCCACUUUUCACAUAGAGGGAAAUAUAUGAGAGUGACGAGUUAUGCUGAGGACCAGGUGAACAUGGGUAUCAUAUUCUCAUUUGAUCAUCUAUCCCAUAUACAUUACCACAUUCAAUCUUUGACCUACCGUAUAUAACAUAUUAGCACAAGAUUUGAUAAUGGGAAAGAGAUAUAUAUUGAUUAUUAAUUCAAAACUAGAAUUGAAUCGAAUAUACCAUGACUGCAAUAUCAUGUAAAGAAAUGAUGCAUGCUGAUUUAUAUAUAAGGUUACAGACACGGCAAGAGGCAGGACAUGCAAAAUUCUGCUCUAAUUGAACUUUUUGUGAAAGAUUUCCUAUUGCAGGUCCACUAGUCUGAUUCUCUUCUUACUCUCAUAAGCUCCCUCGAUUGUAACCCCACUAUCUGUUUCAAGUUUCAACCAUUACCCUCCAAUUAUGUUCAAAUGUGUAUAAACUAUAAAAGGCGUUGAAAGAUUCUCACAUCCACAUAUUCACCCUACACCUAUCACCAUAUAUUUGGAAGACUGCAUCUGAUUGUGCACCUGCCUUUUCUUCUGAUUUUUAUUCGUGUGUAUUCUGCACCCUGUAAUUUACCAGCUAGCUUCCAAUCUUUUUGUGUUUAUAAAUCUGCGGUUCUAGAAAAAAGUUGUAGAGAGAAUGAAGAGCAGCUUACCAAGUAAAUAAAGAUCCAGUUGAAAAAAAUUGAUUUAUCAAUCCCGCUCUAUUUUUUUUCAAUUGAUAACUAUUGUUACUGUUGGUGAUAAUGAAGAGCAUUGACGAUGGAGUAGACUUUGAAAUAUAAGGGAAAGGAUGCAGCAACCAUUUGAUCAAGGGGAGGUUUUCGGAUUGCGUUGGAGGAACGAUUUCUGUUUACAUAAGUUG
rnacentral:lncRNA from 1 species